GGUAUCAAUGAGUGAUGCUAGAUUACCUGCAAUAUGUACUAAAUAUUUGUCCAAUAAUCCUUUUUGAUGUGAAGGGAUUGUUACACUCAUGAGGACUAAGAGAUUAUUGUGAAUUGAAAUCUUGAUCAGGGGAUCUAUACCUGAUGCCCAGUGAUAUUACUCUACAGCUUUUGGUUAGGGGACCUUAGUCCCUCUUGCUCACUCAACUCUUUCUGUAAUUAGUUUGAUUAAAUGUUCGUUCUCUCUUGAAGAUCAAUAACAGAUCCAACAGCUUAACUUGAAAAUAACAAGCACAACUACAUUGAAAAGCUUGCAAUGUGUCAAUCUUCACUCAUUCCUCUUUACCCCAAAUCACAAAAUUUCUGUCAAAAAACGGGCUAGAUGCAUGACACGUAAUCUUUAUUCAACUUUAAAAUUAUUAUUAUUUUUUGCGUAUUUGACAAAAAUAUUUCUUUAUACUGAUGGUGGUGAUAACUUUAAUCCAAUUUUUGCACCACGAUUCAUCGAUGAUAAGUUGUCCUGUAUGAUUAAUAACAGUACAUAGGGCCUAGCUACUAUUAUAGUCCAUAGUACUGAGGAUAACAAUCAUGCAAGCUUUCUUGGAUCCAUGGUGAUAGAAACAUUCUUGGCAUCAAGCUGCAUAUGCACCAUCAUUAUAUUGUACCUAAGAAAAACCAAGGCCUGAAGGUUGAUUGACUGUAAUGAAAACUGAUCAGAACACACAGCACCAGCACAAUGAAAGUGCAAUUAUUUUGUCUUCAAGAUACCCGAUCACGUUAGAUGGGGCAACUUGGUUCCUGUGCCUAACAUUUUAUUGCAUUUAUAUCACCAGUUUAAGCUUGCAACUCCCACCAAAUAUGAAAGGCUCGAACAAAUUUGCACAUUGCCAACGCCCUUUAUUAGCUUUCUAAAACAUUUACAAAAUUCUAAUUGAAUGCACAUGGUAUGGUAGAUAGGAGCACGGUUAACCAACAGCCUGUUGGCCAGGGAGCUAUGCUCUCGCCUGUCAGGUUUGGAGUUCUAUUUCUGGCUUGGCACUUUUCGAGUAGGGGUUUUAGGGAGGAAAUUGGUGGGAAGUAGGGAGGGGGGAUUUCAAAAAAAAAAAGGGAUAAAGGCACAUUUGGUCAUUCGCACUUUUUGAGUUAGAUUUUGACAAGUUCAAACUUUGGCUCAUGCCAAAUAAACUAUUUGGAUUUUUCAAAUUUCGGGCUCAACUCAAGUUUAAAAUUAAUUCAUAAUCACAUGUGAUAUGUACACUAUUAAGCAUUAAUCUGUUAUUGAAUUUCUCCUUGAAUUCCAUCUGCUGCUCCUUCUGUAACUGCUUUUUUGCCCAUACACUAUAGUACUAUAUAUAUAUCAUAUAAUUAUUUGAGUCAAACUUCAAGGAGGCUGAGUCCAAUAAAGUUCAGGUUUGGCUCACAAUUAAAUCGAGCAUUGCAUUUAUGCCCGAUCUCUGCCCGGCUCAGAAAUAUACGAGGCUCAACCCCAAUUUUUUAGGAUGUGAGACCCGGACGGUUGCCACUAGCAACCGUUCGGAACGACGUAAUAUUUUUUUGAACAAGUUGUAAUUCUACGUCAACUACUUGUAAAACUUAACAACAAAGACAAAUUAUUAUAUAUGAAACUCAUAUAAACAGUAACACAAUAUCACACCUCUAUUGUAAGGAUGUAUAAUAAAUUUACAUAAAAUUACAAAAUAUUUUAAAAAAAAGUUACAUAAUUCAGGGACUGUUUUGGCAACCAUCUCUGCCCUGCGUUCAAUUUUCUGUGCCCGGUUAGUUGAGUUUGGACCAACACAGCUUCAUGGACUAUCCUAGACACAAUCGAUUGCCCCUGGGGAACUAUUGAAUGGGAAUGUCAAUCAAAAUUGAAUUUUUCUCUGACCAGAUCGCUGAGUCAUAUUUUUUCCUAUGAAUAGUCGAACCCAGUGAAUAGUUUGCAAAAAUCAUAUCCACUGCUGAAGUUUGUACUGCUACGGAUGAGAUGAUUAUGUAACCACCAACAUAGCUCAAUAAAGAGACGAAUAUAAAACAAAAGAUGUAAAAUGACUUCAAUUUGAGUUGUUCAAUAUACACAGGAAUUGUCUAGUGGUCAAGGGCCACAUGUUCUUAUGGCAUUGUUGAAUACAUUAAAGGAGAUGGAGGUCUCAUGUCCCUGUAGAUUGGACAAUGGUGCUGGCAUCUAUGUGGAAAUUCUGGAUGAUGGAUGAUUAUAAGUGUUCAGGAAGUAAAAAGAAGAAACAAAGAAAGAGAUGGAGGGCAUGAUCAUCAUCUAGCUUUGGUUGAAAGAGACCUGCCUUUGCUUCUGUUCAAAUAACUUGUACAUUGUGAAUUGUUUCUUCUAAGCAAUAAUAACUCUAAAUAUGGGACACUUGCAAUCAUGCAGUACUAUCUCUUUCAUCACUGCUUGAGUGUCGAGGAUAGGUUCAGGAUUAUUAAUGAUCAAUAGUGUGAAUAAUUAUUGCCUGCACUUUUGUCUUCUUAUUCUGUCUUCAUAUUCAGGCUAGGGGUGUAAUCGAGCCUAGUCGAGCUCGAGUAUUGCUAUACUCGAGCUCGACUCGACUCAUAUACACCAAAGCUCGAGCUCGACUCGAGUUCGAGCGAGCCCAAAAGAUCGAUACUCGAGACUCGACUCGAAAAAUUUCCUUUAGGCUCGAGGCUCGAAAAUUUUUUUCAUUUUAGGUCUUUUUACAAUUAUGUUAUUACUUUUUUGCCAUUAUAGGAUUUUAUUAUAAAGAAGGAUAUAUUGUAAAUUUCAUAUAACUUAUACCCAUAAUGGUCAUUUUAUAAUUAUAAUACAUAUAUAUUAUUUAAAUUAUAAAUAUAUUAUUUAAAUAACUCCGGCUCGUCGAGCUACUCGACUCGACUCGAGCUGGGCUAUUUCGACUCGAAACUCGAUUCGAUUUUCAUUCGAGUUACUUGAAACUCGGCUCGAACUCGGUCAACCCGAGUUCGAGCCGAGUCGUUGACCGAGCUACUCGCGAGCUACUCGCGAGUAGCUCGGCUCGCGUACAUCCCUAAUUCUGGCAAUGGGUGAAAAUGUAUUGUGGAAUAGGGAACUUUGCAUUCCUUUUCUGUUUCUUUGUUAUCAAAGAAAGACGGUGGCUUAGGAAUCAAGUUUAAUGCCACUUUGUAAAAUUUUUCCUGUGGUCUUCAAAUUUUACCACAGCAAAUCUAGCAUUUUGCCUUUCACAAUGCACCUCAUGUGAUGAAAUUGAUGUUUUCUAUCAUAUUUACCUCUUCUUUUCUAUUUUUUUUUUACCUUUUCAAUUAUUUUUUUAGUUUUCUUUUUUGUUUUCGCUUUCUUCCUUUUGAAAGGGGCAUGCAUUCUCUGCAUGGCUUCAAUGUACUGCUUUAUCUACUCUACUCUCCACUUGGAGGACUUGCCUUUGCUUGGGAAAUUCUUAAUUGGAAUUGGCCUUCAUGUCAUUUCUUGGAGGGCUGCAACCCUUUGAAGUUUAGGAGGAUUUUUUUUUUUUUUAAGGAGGAUGUUGUUAAGUGAUCAUUUUGUAAUACUAUACCAUCCUUUGAGGAAAAAAAAUAAGGAAAUGAAGAAAAAGUUAACUUUCUUGAUAUCCAUAAUCCUCAUUUCUAAAGAUGGAUUUGGCAAAUUGUAAAUAAACAGUUUGACACUAUGUCAUGUUUCGAGUGGGGCAGCAUUUGCCUAUUAGUUUAAUUUAAGUAUGCAAUUUCUGUAUAUUGCUUGAAAUUUUGCUGAGAAUUUCAUUCAAGUAGUUUUCUCCUUUCAUGUAACAACUACAAUCGGAUUGAUCAUGAUCUGCGAACGUUGCAAGAGACAGUAAGAGCAAAGAGUUACAUACAUAUAUAUUCAUGAGACUUGAUAGCAUUGUGUCAAUAAACCAGAAAAUUGGUUGAAUGCUUUACUUCUUCUGACAGAAUAAACUGAGUAAGAUCUACAGAGCAAGUAGUGGUAAACGUUAGUUAGUUAAGCCCGUGAACACGGGCAAUCAACUAGCAAAUUUUUUUCCUACAGUGGCAUCUAACUUAGAUUAGGAAACCGGCACUGCAAUGAGGAGCAAAGACAGAAAAAUAACUGAGCAAAAAAGAAGGCAAGAAGGUGAAAAAACCAGGAGCAAAAAUUCAUCCUUCUUUAUCCAUUAUUGGAUAAAAACUCUAGGUUUUACACAACCCUUCUGAUGAACUCAAUCAUCUGUACUUCAUGAAAAAGCAUAAGCGCGCACGACAUCGAUUAUUGGAGCUUGACAAAUUGGACAUUUUCCACUGCCCCAUUGCAGGUCACUGGCGCACUUGAAGCACGUACACAUGUGCCCACAUCUGAAGAGCCAUUAGAAGAUAUUAGACUACUGGUAUAUAUCAAUGCUAUUAAGACAUUAAGGCUUUUAUCAUGGAAUCAAUUCAAUAUGGCUUCUCAAUCUGAUGAAAGCAAAUAUUAUCUCAAUUGAUUUUGGCAAGAUACCUGUAAAGAAGAGAAUCUAUUUGCAUCUCAUAGCAAAUAUAACAUCUUCCUCUGCCGGAUUUCUUACUUUGUGAUGAAUCCUUUCUUUUCUUUCUUCCAGUACCUGCCAAAACCAUUAGUUACUUCAUGAGAUACAUGUCAACGAUUCCGCUAGCUAAUGAAAAGCAAAAUAAUGCGGUGAGAUAAUAUGAGUAAGUUCAUUCUGUUUCCUUUCUAAAAGCUAAACGUUAAAUGUUCAAGAAGAAGGAAGAAGCAAAGGUCACAGGGUUGAAAAUCAGAUCAGCAAUCUCAUCCUUUAUCAAGAAGAGAAUAGGAUAUCUAGCAUACUUUAGUCCGCUUUCAUGAUAGGCAACAGAAGCACGUCCUAUUCUGACACCACACUAAUGGGAUGCAUAUAACCCAAAGAAACCAAGGAAAUGAUGCUACUGGUUAGGGAAACGGGAACAUAUUUUAUACUUCAAAACCGUACCUGAAUGACAUGAAGCAGUUGUCACGUCCCGCGUAAGGGAUUCUUGUAACUUGACCUGCAUGUCAAUGCAGCUCUUUACUGAUCUUCGUAGUUCAGAGAUCUCUUGAUGGAGUUGCUCCAUGUUGCCUCUCAACUCAUAGAUGAACUCCAUUUCCUGACAAUCCCGGACACCAUUAUAACUAUGUUUAAAUGAUCCGAGAAUGACAAGUAACUUUUUUGCAAUAGCUACUUACUAUUGAAGGAUGAUUAGUGAAGGAAGAGCUUGGUUGAGUUUCCGGAGGGGAAGAAGGUGAGAGAGGUUGUUCGGGAGAUUCAAAUUCAGUUGGAUCAAAGUAGUUAUCACCCACUUCAUUAUCUUGAUUGUAGUCCCACGAUGUUGUUUGUCCAAAAUAAUCCUGGGAUUCAGUGUAUUCUCGUCCAGUUUGGAUCUCAUCCGACUCAUCUUCUCCAAGAUCAUUACUGUGAUCCGCAAUUUCUUCUUCCUCUUCUACUCUUUCUUCAGGUUCUUUCUGUACUUCUUGCAUUUCCACCUCCUUUGUCACUUCUUCUUCCACUUGAUAUGACUUGUACUCUUCCUGUCUCUGAUUGGCCUGUUCAUUUGGUUGACUUUGUGUGCGUGACAUCAUCAGUCUAUCUAUACCCUCUCUCAGACCACUGGAAAGGAAAUUUGAAACGCUUUUUCUACAAAUAUAAGAGGAGAAUGACUAUUAAUAGAACAAAAGUAACAAAAUAUCCUAUCUAAAGUUAAAUUUAGCAUAUAAAUUAGUUCAGCAAGACAUUCUGUAUAAAUAAAAUUUCGUGCCUGCAUAAAAAGUCGAAUGAAAUUUCAGUAACUCGAAGGUAACAAAAGACAAGGAAAGAAGCGAAUUAGGCAACUUCAUCAUGAAACCAAGAAUGCAGAAGACUGCACUUGUAGGUUAAGCUGUUAAGGCCUAUAUAUACACAAAUUAGAUUAAAAGUUCUUUUGUUUUGUCUUCAAACGAACUCUUGCUUUAGUUGCUUUUUCGACGACAUGCCACAUUUGAACUUGGAAAGCUCUGCAACUCUGCCCUUUAGAUAAAAAAAAUUAAUCUGACAUUGUCAAACAAUAAUGUAAAGCUACUGUUGGUGGAUUUUCUUCAUGUUGUGAAAGAGAAACGUAUCCUUUUUCUAUACAACUUGUGUGACUACUUUAAGUAGCUCGAUUUUUUUGUUUUUUUAACCCUAACACAAAACAGGCUCUUUAAGAAGUCACUCAGGAUGAGAGAAGAGCUACCACCACCACGACCCCGGCAAGAAGAGUAUUGUACAACCAGGAAGUAGGCACAAAUGAAGUGGAACACGACUUGGAUUGGAGCUUCAAUUUUUUAUGGACUCAAGUUCUUUUAAAUUUUGCAUAGCUUACUAACUUUCAGAAAUGGUUUAAGAGAAGGGUUUUGUAUCUGCUUGCAUAUUGCUGCCAUGGGUAAAUAGCAAUUGUACUUCAGGAGCUACAAGUAUCCAUUUACAUCUAUAGUACUACCUAGUUCGCUAAAUUAUUUUACCCAUUUUACAGCACAUAGACUUAUAAUAUUUGCUAUAAUAUUUUUAAACAUUAAAGAAAUGCACAUAGUGAAUUCUCUAAUGCUAAAUUUCUUCUGAAAUAAAUUUGUUCCUCUUGAGAGAGCAUCGGAUUGAAUGUACAGGAACAGAUACCUGUCAAUCUCAAAUUAUCUCCUAGAAAAUGCACGUGCAAAUGUUCAUGUACUGAGUAUGCAUUAAUAGUGAUGCCUUUCAUGAUUUUCAAGUUGAUGCAGCAGGUAAAGUUCAACCAGUGGAGUUACGAGCAAUGUCCAGUUUACGUGCUUAAAGUCCAGGAAUCUGCGAAGAAACAAAAGUGCUAAGUUGAAACAAAGUCCAGUAGCUAAUUUACCUAUUAAGAAGUUGGCGGAUUUCAUCAUUCUGCAUGAACGGAUCAAGCAUUUCCUGAUAUCUUGCUUGUCUGAGAUCUUCCCAAGUACUACGAGGGCGAGAGACAUCACUUAUCCAGUCUUGGUUCAUAUCUACUUCCUGCUCGUAAUCAUCCUGUAAUUCUUCCCAUUCGAAUGGUUGAAAAACAUCAGUUUCCUGACCAUAAUCACUGACUACUAAGUCCUGAUGAGUGCCUUCAUCCUCCUUCCAAUCACCUUGUGCCUUAUACGCAUCAUCCAUAAACCCAUUGGUGCUUGCUAUAAGAUUUUGGUUGCUGGACUCUUCUAUUUCUGAAUUCUCAUUUGCUUCAUCCAUUUUCAUGGAAUUUGCUGUCGAGGUAACUUCUGUCUUGCCAUCAUUUUCAGAUCCUGAACUUGUCCUCUGUUGCAUAACACCUGAGCUCGAAAUAGCUUCUUGAUGUAAAAUUUCUGACCUCUGUUCUUGGACAGCAUUUUGACGGACCGUUGUAUUUGAUUCAUGGUAGUUAGUACCUACAAUUUGAUUUUCUCUAAUAGGUUCUUGUGCAUCUACGUCAUUGUUUACCACAGCUUUAGGUGAUUUUGUUGGUUCGGUGAGUUCUUGUUGAUGAUUCUCUUUUCUUUGUUGAUAUAUCAUGGGAGAUUUUUCCCCCUCGGUGAUUUUAUCUACAGCCUCGCCUUGUUGAGAUCUCGAAUCUGUUCCAGAAUGCCGAACCUGCGCCAUGAAUCUCUCCCUGAAAUGACGAGUCUUUUGCCUUAGCUCUUUGAAACAGGAUAAAGGUUCUAAGAAGUGAUUUACGCUGCAAAACAUUGCAUGCCAGGAAGAGUAGUUCAACCUAAAAUGCGAACUACAAAAGAUGACUAAUAUCCACAUCAACUCAGUUGAAACAAGCCGUUCAGAAACCAUCAACAGGGAAAAAAAUUGUAAUCACAAAAUUCAAAAUGAAAUUGUGGAAACAGGUGCAUACCUCAAACCAAUUGUUAUUGCAAAUGGAAGCUUACUGCAUUACCCUUCCUAAUAUAAAGUAAAUCCUUCCCAACAUAUCUUUUUAUUGAAUGCAAUGUAGUCCACAUCAUGAAUUUGGAUUGAGAAAACAAUGGAAUGACAAUACAGGAAGAGGUGCUCAACUCUAUCGAAUAUCAACCCUAUGUUUGGAUCAACCACCAGAAUAUGUUCCAUCAGUUUCUGUAAGUGAGACAAGGUUCUCAGGCUGAUCUUUUGUUGUUGGCAAGGUUCAAAAGUUGAUCAUUAGAAGGGUCCAGUUGUUAUGUAACUUGAGUUGGAACUUCAUUGGAUUUUACCUUUCAAUAUAAUCUGUUCCCUUCCCCCAUCCAUAUAUAUAAAAAGAGGCUAAGCUCCAACUAACUGUAAGUCUCAUCUAUCCAUAUGUGUAUUUGCUUUUCCUAAUCAUGUGAUGAUGAUAUUGCUAAACAAUACAGCUGAGCUCUCCAUGUCCACAUGCAAAGGUACAAAUACACUGGUGCAAUAAGCAUAAUGGUAGUGUCAUAUAGGGGGAACAGAAACUGAACGACGACGACGACGACAACAACAACAACAAAACAAGCCGUGAUUCAAGGAUAUGGAUAGCUGUAGGGAUAUUCAUUUUAUGGAAGCGCUAAAGGAUGAUUGAAUAUAUUACAAUUACUGGAUGCAGUUUUGACUUUAGCAUACACUAGAGAAGUUGCAGUACAGUGUGAAUCAUGAAAGUUUCUUCUUGUUAAACCAAUUGCCAGAAUAAGUAAUCCAAUGUCCGAUCACAGUAACAAAACAAAAAGAAAAUUAGCAUAGCACCAAAGAGUGAUCUGAUAUUCAUUUGGAUUCCUUAAUAAACUAGACAGGGUUUAAUAUUUCAGAUUUCUCUUAAUCAAAGGAAAACCAUGGAUCCAUUUAAUCAUUCUUAUUACAAAUUUUCAUGUGAAUACCAUGCGUAGCUUCCCAUAAAUAGAAAUGAUCAAGAGCCUUCUGACCUUAUAUUCACAAUGGCUGAUGGAGCAAGUCUUUUUGAGUCAAAUGAUGCAGAAUUAGAUUGGCGACCAUCUUUUCCUUCAGCUCCACGACGCAAGAAUCUAACGCGUAUCAUAGCCUGGGAACAAACCACAUGAUAGUUGAUAAUCCUACUUGACAUCUUACCUUUUUUUAACAAUUCUCAUAGAAGAUUUCAAAAUUUUGGAAAAUAGAGUUGACCUGAAUGCGGCCUCUAUGUGAGAAUCUGGAAACUGCUUUUUUAUCUACAAGCCUUUCAAGCUCCCUGUGCCUAUCACGCUCCAAGUGCAUUAACAAAUCAGUGAAUGCUUGACGACCUCUAAUCCGAGGAGAACUGGAAACUGGAGAGAAAACUCUCUGUUCUGCCUUUUCCAGUGAUGUUCGAACACGGGGCAAUGAAUGUUGGCUAAUUGUAUCGUUGUGAUCUUCACCAUUAGACGACAGUUUUUUGAUGAUAUCAGCUACCCUGAUUCUCUCACUCUCAGUAGCAUCAGAAUCUCUACCUCGAGAGGAAGGUGGACCACUCAAGCCUGUUUGAUCAGAUUCCCAGUCUAGAAACAAGUCCUCACUCUUAGAUGGGGUUGCAGGCCUUAAAUCGGCGAAUUCCUCACCAGCAUCAGGCCCUCGAAGAGGGGCAUCAGCAUAUGAAGAAUUAUCAUUGAAAAACAUUACGGAAUUGCUCCUAGAGCUACAAACAGGUGAAUUGGUUGCGCUGAAGCACCGAGCCUCAGCCUCAAAGUCUCUCCACAUCCUCACAAGGGAAGACACUCCGCCUAAACUUUGCGCCUCCACAGAACUUUCAGAUUUUACAGGGGAAUUCUCCCUUUGGGAUCUCAAAUCAGGCUCUGAUGUGAUUUCCUCUUGGCUCUUUCCCCUCUGAAAUAAUGCAACAGGCUCUUGGGGUACAACUUCACGGCUCGUCCCCCUCUGAGAAGCCGAAACAGGCCGCCCUGAUGAUGGGCUGUCAGGACUUCUUCCCCUCUGAGAAUUCAAAACAUGCCCUCCUGAUGAUGUUUUUUCUUGGCUUUUUCUCUCAAAAGCAAAUACCAUUUCUCUUGCCUUAUCCCAUUUUUCCCCAGCUCUACUUUCCUUGGGAUUAUUUUCAUUGUUGUUUCUCUGUGGAUUGUGAACCCACAAAUCUGUAAAAUCAAUAUGAUGACGAGGAGAAUUCUCAUUGGAAUCUGUAUGACCAGACAUUCUCCUGUCAUCAAAAUUACAAGAAUGAUGAUUAUCCUCAUUGGUAUGACUCCGCGGAUUGUGAACCCAUAAAUCUGUAUAAUCAAUCUGGUGACUCAAUUUGCCAUUGGAAACAGAACCAGAAUUUCUUGAAUGACCUGGACUGCAAGAAUUCAGGUGUGUCUGAACCAAGUCCUUGAAAUUCUUCUGAAACGCAUUGGACUCCCUUGUCCUGUAUCGAUGAUCGUGCCGAUUACGAUCCUUCAAAACAUAACCAAACGGAGAAGAUGACGCAAUCUCAACCUGAGAAGAAGCCAUUUUUGACGAACUCUGAUGAUCCUGCACUGGAAAAAUUACUCAAAAAACCUGAGCUCUCCAAUAAUUCUUAUUCAUCGUUUCUUGGUGCAAAGCACGAGGGAAAGAAAACACCACACUUUAUUCAAAUGGGUGGAGAGAUCAAAGAAGAAUGAAGAAUAAUAUUCAUAAUAAGAACAAGAAUCCAUUAUUAUCAAGAAAAUGCAGCAAAAAGGCCGUCUAAAAUUGUCUGUCAAUGACAAACAUCUCUCCUUUUUUCUCUCUCAAUCUGUCUGUACCGGCAAUCUUGGUCUUUUCUAUAUUGCACCUUGUUUCUGAUCCUAAUCUUUAUUGACUAAAUUUAGAAAAUGGACCAAUAAUCAGCAGAAAGGACAAUGACUUUAAGGGAGAUAAAUGAGGGAGGAUGUGAAAACGGGGCUAAUUUGUUGGAAGUCUUUAAUGCCUCAACCGUUCAAUUAACUCCUGAUUACUCAGAUUCUACAGGAACUUUUGAAUCCAGAAAAAUAGGAAGAAAGAAUUUUUUGCCAACUGGGAUUAUCAAAAUAUGUUUGUGGCUCAAAAUUCAUCAGACACGGCAGACAGCAAUAAAAUGGGAUGGAAUCAAUCAAGGAGGACAAAAACACGGAUGGAAGCUUCAGAUGAAGGGAGAGAAUGUUGGAGAAAUAUCGUAGAGAUGACGACAACAGAGGUAGAAGAGGGGUGUGUUGUCUUGAUUGAUGGAUGAUUCACAAACGGUUGAGUAGUUUUUUUUGAUAGUUUGGUGCAAGAAAAAGGAGGGAGAGAAAAGGAGAGCUUACACUAUGAAAGAGUCUAAGAGACGUUGGAUUUUAGCCGUUGAGAAAUUUGUUUGUAGGGCCAGAUAAUGAAUAUUGGGGUGAAUUAUUGUUGCUAGCAAUGUAAGGCUAAGGUUAGCACUUAGCGGUCAAGCCAACCAAAAUUUCCAUUCUUGUACAUCUUUCUUUUACAUUUUCUACACUUUCUUGACUUUCUUUUUUUGUGUAAAAAAAAAAAAGAACUUUUUUUUCUUUAUAGAUUGUUAUCUUUUACUUUAAAAAAUUCUAAAGGCCUUUUAUACUUCUAAAAGCAUUUUUUGAUUCUGUUUGCAUCUAGGAAGCAAGUCAAUUGAAAAGGGUUAGUUAGGUAUAUGGAGAGGAGAAGAGUUUUCAUACAAUUUAGUUGGUAAUACAAUUCAUCUUGAUGACCAACUAAGUCUGCAUUGAGUCAUCAAUUUCGCCUCGAGGGAAGAGGCGAAAUUGUACGAUUGAUUCUUUUUGUGUUUUUAGCAAGAAUAAAAGACAAAAACAUUUAGGAAAAAAAAAAAGAAACAGAGGAGUUUUUGGUUCUUGAGACUCCUCUUCUGACUUUUCUGUCCUCUUUCUUUUUACGUAGUCAAACUUUCUUCCAUCCUACUAAUAUUGCCCUUGACUUUGGAUUGUCUACAGGGUUGCUGACUUUGAUUGUAUAUGCAUGAUCAUCUUGUCUAAAAUAUGUAUAUAUAUAUAUAUGCAUGAUCUAUAUAUAUAUAUACAUGAUCAUGGAACUAAUUCUAUGCAUGGUGCAAAGCUCACCUUUGUACCAAAGGAAACGAUCUUUUUUCAUUUUUUCAAUUUUUUAGUGUAAGUUGAAAAUUUCGAACUUAGGGUCUGUUUGGUUGGAAGUAAAAUGUUUUUCUUGGGAAAAUAUUUUCCGUAGAAGUAAUUUUCCAUGAAAAUCAUUUCCCUUUCAUCAUUUUCAGGUGUUUGGUUAGUUUAUUGAAAAUAUUUUCUUACUUCAUUUUUCUGGUGUUUGUUUAACUUUUGAAAUAUUUUCACUUUUAUCUCUAUCUUUACUUUCUACACAUUAUAACUACAUACUUCUUCCCAUGCAAAAUAAGAAAAUUUAUCUCAUUGUUUAACUUUAAAAAAUCUUGGAGAAAUGUAUAUAUGAAUAAAAAAUAUCUCCUUAAGCAAUAAACAAAUUGCUGGCCAUUUAGUGUCAAAUAUCAAUCACAUGCAAUGCUUAUUGUGACAUAUAUCUUGCACUCUCACUGCUGAAAGUUUCUCUAGAAAAGAAUGUCCCUAUUAUACAUAAUUAAUUACUAGCAUAGGAUGAGCAAGAUGAGGUUUUUUUUUUUUUAUUUUGAAUAUACUAGGGGAAGGGUUGGGUUGGGUUGGGUGAUACGGGAGAGGGAGUGUAAGGAAGAGGUCUUGGGUUCGAGUUCUCCUGUUUACACUAAAAAAAAAAAAACAUACUACAAGAUGUUUUCAGUAAGUUUGGAACAUACUAUAAGCGGGAUGCAUGCAUUUCGGAAAACAACUUCAGUAAGUUUGGAAGGGAAGUUGUUUUCCAUAAGAUGAGUUAAAAUAUUUUACAUAGGAAAAUGUUUUCAGUAACUUUUGUGCAAUCAAACACGGGAAAUUAUGAAAAUAUUUUCCUGAAAAACAUUUUCACCCGAAACAAACGGACCCUUAGACCUUUCACUUAUACUCUUUUUUCCUAUACCAUCCGAUUGGUCUCUCCUCAAUGAAUUGUCCCUCUUUCUUUACCUUUUGUUGAAAAAUAGCUUUCUCUUUUUUUUCUUUUUUUGUCUGAAAUAUCAACAAUGAGAAUUGAUUUAUAAUAAUGUCUUCUUUAGCAAUUGUAUUUGAUGUAGAAAAACUACAACAUGCUCUGACUCUCUAAGUUUUUAGUUUCAUUUCUUUGGUCCUAAAUAAAUAUAUAUAUAUAGACACACACAUAAAACCAUUCAAACAAAUCUUGUGUCAAUCUACAAUUUAUAUUCUUUUUUAAAAGAAUUAUAUUUAGAGUUUAAAUAUUUUAUAUGUGGGUAAAAAUAAAAGGAUUAAUUUCUUAAUCCAACUCUACUUUUUGGUACGAAACUUUGGAUGUUUUAAUACACACGAAGAUGCACUGCUAUUGUACCAGCAAUAUAUCAUGAGGAUCCCAAGGAAAAAAAUUUCUCGAAUUUUUAUUUAAAUAAGUAUUUGAUCAAGAUGAUGCCGAAGUAUAUUCAAAAUAAACCGAUAUAACUAUCACAAUGUCUUCAUCCAAUUUGCGUAGUUUUCUAAUGAAUUCAAAUACUUGAAAAUACAUCAUGUAAGACCAAAUAUAAUUUAUUUUCUUUUUGAAAAUAUUAUUCAAAUGUCAUCUAAUACUAAUUUCAGGCACCUCAGAAUUAGAGGUUCUGGAUUUUAAUUUCUCUUUUUCCCUCCCCACCUCUUGAAUCUCACAUCUUCCCUACUUGGAAUUUUUUUUCUUUUUUAAAUUAUGUUCUUUCUGAAAAGAAAUUCGGGUAUCAUCUAAUACUAAUAAUUUUUUUAGUGAUAGACAAUAUUAAGUGAGUUUUUCACAUUCUUAACUUUUUAUACUUGCAAAUUGCAAUACAAUUAAGUGGGAAAUUGUGCAAAAAAAAAAAAGAGCACAAAUUUAUGUGUUUUUCUUUGAUCUUACGGCAACUUAAAAUUAAAAAUUGAGCACUACAUUACCAACAUCGCAUGUAUUAAAUAUGUUUUUCAUUUUGGAAACCAUUUUUGCAUUUACCUAUAAAUUCAAGACCUCUUAAAAACGAUUCUUUUAAAAAUUAAAGAUUUAUUCUAACAAAAUGUUAAAAUAUCAACAAUAGUUCUCUUGUUCAUACGCAACGGAAAGGUCGUGACGGAAAACGACAGCAAAUUUUGCAACACAAAGCGACAAGAACAGGAAAUAUCGUGGCUUAAAACUUUACAUCCUUAGGUGGACUGCGAGCUGGGCCAAUCCCGUUGGAUAACUUAAAAAGAAAAGCUGACGGCCCAGGCCAGCCCACCCACCCAGCUCAGCCUGAAUAUACUAAAAGCAAACAGUUGUUGGGCCAAUAAAUGUUCGGAACGUGUAUUCUUCUGAGUCCGACUUCCAUAAUAAAAAUAAAAAAGUAAUAGAGUGAGUACAAGUUGAUUCAAUUAAUAAGAAUAAAUCACUUUCUUAUAGGAGGUAGUGUGUUGAUCUCCUCCUAGUCAACAUAACGGCUGUAUUGUAUUGUAUUAGUGGACGAUAAGAUAAGUCAUCAUUACAGGAGUAUGCUUUGAUCCGUGAUGGUGAUCGGAGUCGAAUUUAUCUAAAUUUUUUAUUAUCUAAAAAAAAUGCAGGGGACAUAAUUUUUUGCAAAUUUCGUGCGCUAUUGGUAGUUGAAUGAUGGUGGUGCUUAAAUAAUCCAAAAAUUGAAUGGGUGACAUCAAAUGUGAGGAAAAAAAAUAAAUUUUCUAUUAAAAAUAUACAAAUGCUUCAUGUAUUGUACUAUAUUACUGUAUAGACAAGUUGGGAUCUAUUGAUGUUUUAAGUAGAAUCUUCGUUUGAGGUGAAGAACUAGCCAGCCUUGAGGUUAGGAACCUGCGUUUGAGGAUUUUGCUAUUCAUAAUGAUGAAAAUGGAUAAGCAUCUUUUUUUUUUUUCUGAGGAUUAAGAAAAUAAGAAAGAAAAAGAAAAGAAAAUGGAUGGGUGUAACGUGUGAAUUGUGCACAAUGUUUUUGAGGAUCUUGUAAUAUCAUUUUUCAAAAUUUAUCUGAUAAAGUUUACAAUAUACCAACCAUUCUUCAUAACCAAAGGUAAAUCUUUGGACUUAUAAAUUUUAGUUAAGAGUAAAUAUUGGACAUAUAAACCUGGGUACUUAAGCAUUUAUCAUCUCAUCUAAACUUGUACUUACCAAUUUUCUGAGUUUGGACUAGUCAUAGAUUUUAAGUGACUUUUUAACUCAGUUAAUUAUAAUUUUUUUUCAUUAAUUAUGACUUGUUCUCGUGUGAUGUAGAAAUUGAUUAUAAAGAAUAGGAUUAAUCACACUUCGUCGCCUUAAACUUUGGGAGUAAUUAUAAUUUACCACCUUCAACCUUAAAAAUAUGUACUUUAUCUCUCAUAAGGACUAGUCAAAAGCCAAAAAUGUAAGAUAAAAAAAAAAAAAGUGCAAUGAAAUUAUAUUGUCAUUUAUUAUGAAAUUAUGUAUAACUUGCUAUUGUUUUCUUUUAUUUCCAAAAGAUACAUGUGUUCUAUAUAGUACGUACCAUACAAAAAUAUCAAAUUAAUAAAAGCUAAACAAAUUAUUUUUAAUUUAUUAUUCUUAAAAUUUUUUCCUGUUGGAUUAAUGUUCACUACUUAGCGAAAAUUGCCAAAACGGGCUUAUGAGUCUUAUUUUUAAAGUUAGAAGAGAAAAAUAGGGACUAAAUCAAAUUUUAGUUUUUUGGACAAAAGAGGGGACAAUAAUACUAAAAUGAUAAAUAAUUUCAACAACAAAAGGGCAAUGUUGUCAUAAUACUCACGUUCUUUGUUAUUAUUAUUUAAUGAAGUUAAGAUUUCCAAGAUUGACUAGUGGGAAUGAAGUAUAUAUUUUUAAGACUAAGGAUGGGUAAAGUGUAACUAUCUUCAGAAUUUGAGGGAGCAAAGUGUGAGUAAUCCUAAAGGAUAAUGACAAUAAGCUAAAACUAUUGAUUGACAAAUUCUACAUUUUAAUUUUACUGAUUAUUAAAAAAAGAGUAAAUAUUAUAUACACUGAUAGCGUAUACACUGUAAUAAUUGGAUUUAUGACAUAUAUGUAAAAGUUGAAUUUUAAAUUUAAAUUUUGUAUAAUUAUCAUUCAUCUUACAUUGACAAUGUAUAUAUUAUCAGUAUAAGAAUGAUUAAUCCUUAAAAAAAAUAACUUUUACCAUUAAUGCAUAACAAAUAAUCUGGAUAUGAAUUUAAGAUCUAAAUUUUGUAUAUAAUAAUCUAUAUUGACAGUGUAUAAAUUAUCAUAUAUGACAAAUAAUCUAAAUAUCAUGUUUUGCUUGGAUUGCGAUUUUUCACAAAAAUUUUUUUACGUGUUUUCGUGAGCAUAUUUCCCAAUCAUUUUUUUACCUCAUAUAAAUCAAAUCGGUAUAGUAUAUUUUUCUACAAAAACUCUUAAAAUAGCAAUCCAAAUAAGAAUUUUACAUAUACAUAGUUCGUGUUCGUAAGAUUAACUCUAUACAAAAAUCUGUUGAGUGCAAAUUUGAGGAAAGUUUUUGAACUCAAAUGCAAACAAGUUUAAUUAUUGAAACUAUUCGGGUUCGAUCGUACUAGGAAAAAUUCACUUUUCAUCCGUAAAAUUUGAGUUAGAGACACAUUUCGUCCCCAAACUUUUAAACGCACCACAAUUAGUACAUAAAUUAAUUAUUUUUCAUCACAUUUAGUCCAAAAAAGUAAAUUGUUUAAUUUGGAUGGAGAAAGUCACGUGUUUGGUACGUGACCGUUAAGCAAAACCAAUUUUUCAGUCAAAAUUAACGGUCACGUCAGUCUUCUCCAUCCAAAUUGAAUAUUUUACCGUUUUUAGAUAAAAUGUGACCCAAAAUAAUUAAUUUAUGUACUAAAUAUGAUGCGUCUAUAAAUUUGGGGACGAAAUGUGUCUCCAACUCAAAGUUCAAGGACGAAGAUUUUUCCGGAUCGUAUUCUGGGGAGGUAAUUAAAUUCAGAAAAGGAAAUUAAAAAAAAGGGAAAACUCUACUGGCAGCGGUAAUCUUUACUCUCGAAGACUGGAACCUAUUAAAACAGUGAACAGUCUUCGCUACUGUCAUCGAACCAUCUGUGAGAGAAGAAAAGUAUGCCGGCGACUGCAACGAUAAUUGGAGCCCUGCUGGGAUUGGGGACCCAGAUGUACUCCAAUGCCCUCCGCAAACUCCCUUACAUGCGCCGUCAGUGUUCUUUCUUUGCUAUAUUCGUUUCUAUUUCUAUAACCUCAGCGAAAUGAAAUCAGAACCGAAAUGGGGUGGUUCAAGAUUGAAUUUUUUUGUCUUUUCAAUUGUGGGGUUUUUGAUUAAUGGGCUAAUUCAAUGAUUUCGGCAGAUCCGUGGGAACAUUUGCUGGGGAUGGGAUUGGGAGUUGUGCUUGCUAAUCAGAUGGUGAAGUGGGACGCCAAAGCCCAAGAAGACCUCGAUAAGCUCCUUGCUAAAGCUAAGGAAGCUAACGAGCGCCGUUACUUUGGUACUUCUUUUAUUUUUCUCCUUUUUCCUUUUUCCUACUACGAUUUUUGUUUUCAUUUUUUUCCAUUAUCUUUUUGUUGGGUUUUGUAAAGUUUAAAUCUUUGUAUCUGUUUUUAGUGUUUUCGCCAUCCAUUUUGCAUAUUAGGCGACGUUUUCAUUUCAUUCAGCCAUUUCCUGCUGCUCCUGGUUUUUUUUAAUUAUUAUUUAAAUAAAUAAAUAAUAAAUUUUAUUUUAUUUUUAAAUAGAUGUGUUUGGAGACGAGAAAUUAGCAGUGUGGUGUUUUAGUUUGUUGUAAACCCCACGUAAUGUGCGUGGCCUUCUGCUUAUUGAUCGAUUUUUUGCCAUGCAUCAAACAAAAAAUUGGAGUUGCUUAGGUAGCUGUUUCCAUUUUGAUGGCAACAUAAUAACAAAAUGCAAUAGACUAAUUGGGAAGUGGCAUAUUCCAGAUAUUGUUAGUAUGACUGCUUUCUUCACUACUUACUGAUUGAUGCAUGAAAGAAAACAUUCUUUUGGCGUUUUAAGAAGCGUAGGUUGGUCAUGUGUACUUCUCCAUAUUCUUCUACAUGGAGUUGAUCUAGGGAAAUGCUUGGUGGUGAAUUUGUCAGGCUAUUUGUUUGGAAUCAUUGAUUUGUAGUUUUGGAUGGUAUAUCUUGGCAUGGUAUCCAAUUUAAAGCUUGAUGUAGUGGUGCAUUGGGAUUGUUAUGUUUGUUUCUGACACUGUUUUGAUCAAUUUGGGAUAAUGUUGGUUUGUCCACUUGGUUGUUGAGUUAAAUCCUUGUUUCUGCGCAGCAUCAUUUUUUCAAGUCGACUUCUAUUUACCUGUUUGUCUUGAGUAUGUUGGAUAGGAUCCUCUUCCUGAAAAUUCUAACAUUCUACUGUUUCUUAUCUAGUCUACCUAAAGGCCUUAGGACAGGAAGUACAUUUUGGCUGCCUUUAUGAGGUAGGGAAGCCUUAUUAGCAUUUUUUUUUCAGGAUGAGAUUUAAGUUUGCCUUGCCGCAGAAGACAAAAUCCCAGAUCAAGUUUGGAAAGUGGGAAAGUUGGUUCUGUGUUAGUUUAGUGUGGGAAAUUCAAACCUCAUGCAUCUCUAGUACAUAGAAUGAAUCAGAAUAUUGUCAAAUGAAGCUUGAUCUUUCUUUCCUUUGACUUAGAUAAUAUGUUUGGGCUUGCCAAUAAUUAUAGUACUCACUUUUGCAUAGCUAAGCUUUGCUGUUGCUUUUAAUGGCAUUUGUUUUCUUAAUUCUAUGGGGCAUAACCUUCUUCAUCAUGCUCCCUAGUUUACUACUUCAAUUUGGCUGGGACUGGCAUUUGUAUGCAUUAUUCUCUAAGUGAGGAGAUCCACAUGUCAUGUCCUGAAUAUUGCCACUAAACCUUUCUAAUCAUCAAUAUCUGAAGAAUAUUUGCCUUACUGUCGUCAAAGGACGCACAAUUCUUUGACCUUUUCUGCCGGUCGACUUUCCUUAAAAAAAAAAGAAAAGUAAAUCGAGAAAACAUAUAAAAGUAGAAUUCUAUUAGUAAAGACUGUUAAAAGUGAAUUAUUAUGGCUCCCUGAGUUUUCUUGUCUUCCACUAUAUUUAACAUUCCUUUAACUUUUCUUUUGGCUGCACUACAGUUUGUUGCCCUGAUAACUAAAAAGAAGAUGACCAAAUACACAUAAUUAUUAAAUUGUCUAACAAAAGAGGAAAGUGAAGAGCUAGCUGUAAGUAACCAGAUGACCAGAAAGUAAAACUAAAAAUUAUGCUCCCUGCAUCCAUGUUGCACUUGGAGAUGAAUACUUUGAAAUAUGAGCUAACAGCAAUUAGUUCUCACUGAGCAGAUCAUUGUGAUUAUGGAGCAUAUUGUAAUACCACCCCUCUGAUAUAUGAUGCUGGGCCUCCAUAUUUCAAGGCUUGUGAACUCUGGCAAUCACCACUUCAUUCACUUCACAGAAGCUUGCAUUAAUGUGUCAAAAUUGAGAGGUUAAUUAGGAUGAUUCUAACUUUGAGGGGAGAGGAUUUUCUUGUAUGAAUUUGUCACAGAUGCAUAUAUUUAAUGUUGUUAUUGGUUUUACUUGAAUUUUAAGCCAAGCAUUCAGCUGUGCGUUAUGCAGAAAGUAUUCAUUAAUUUAUUCACAAAAAAAUUUAUUAAUUUUUUGUCACAUCAUUCAAGAAACUUUCAUGCUUCUAUCUUUUGAACUUUGUGCUUCUACAAUAAAUGUAGAAUAACAUCUUCUGCUAUCUUGUGGAACAGAGGUAAAUGCUAGAUUGUAAAUAUUCAGUUACUAUAGGAAAAAGUAACUGAUUGCAAUUGAACCUAAAUCUGCAGAUGAUGAUGAAGAUUAGAGCUCAUCAAUUUGGAGAGCUCACGAGCUGUGGACAGCCGUAUAAUGCACUGUAGACAUUCUUAGCUUGUUCUCUGUUUGUAAUGGUCUUCUUCUUCUCCUUUUAGUUUAUACUUGCAGCAUUAAUGCUUUUGAAAUGCUGUCAUAUUCUGAAUUUUCUUAUGCAAGAGUUUCAUCAUCAAUAAUAUACUGUAAAGUUCCCUGGCUGCAAAUCCAUUGAAUGAGAAGGAACGACUCUUUUGUUAUGAUUGAUUACUUAGGAAUUGAAUUUGUUAUCUGCAUGUAAAAUAUGAUCAUUUACUUUCUUUGUUCACUUCAAAAGCUAUGAACGAAAACUCAUUCAAUUCCAUGCUGACUCUUCGUUUUGUAUUGUACUUUUGAGCUUUAGGUAGGUAGUGAAAUCUGGUUGGAGGUCUAAUUUUAGAUACAGUAGUAGUUUUUUUUGGAUCAUAAAUGAAGGAGCACUGCUGCUGAAAUGGUGCAUAUAAAGUUGGUAAUAAAUGCUGCGCCCACUAACUACUGAACGUAGGUGGAGUUGGAUCACACCUGCACCAUAUUCUCAUCCCGAAUUCAUGUGCACAAGAGCAUAUUAUAUUCUGCAGUUAUUCAGAGGUUCUCUUAGCUUUUUAUGGAAGUGAGCAAAUAGGUAAUUUGAUUGAUUUGUGAUGCAUAAGGUUCAGUUUUUGAUCCUUGGCUUAUCCAUGGUUGUUUGUUACGAGCUUGGUCUACAGAAUACUGCCCUUUACCACGAUCUUGGUUGUGUGGAAAGGAAAAAGGCAAUACGCAGGAGGAAAAACCUUGUCUAAUUUCUACCCUGUUUCUUGAUAAUGAUGAGAGUGGAAGAGUUUCAUCUUCACAUCCUUCAGAUUGUUUUGUUUGUCUUGCCAUGUUAAUUAAAUGCACAAAAAGUGAAUUGUACAAACGUGAAAUAGAAACAAUGGAUUUUGAGUUCAAUCUUGCUGAGUAAUCAAAAGGCCAAUUUUGCAUACGCCAAUUGUUCACAUAAUUAAAUUUCUCUUCUUCUUGAAAAACCAAUCACUAUUUCAGGAGGCCUAUGCAUAUGGAUCAGGACUCAUCUUCUCAGAUUGAACCAUCCUGUCGUUAAAUAUAUGCAGCAAUAGAUCACAGGCUUGCCGUGAUGUUGGUCUUUCAAAAGGUGCAGUUUUCGUACAUUGCAGUGCAAUUUCUAGCACCUGGAACGCACCAUUUUCUUCAUGGGGUAAGAGUGGCUUCAUUGCCGGAUCAAUUAGCUCCUCGCAAGCAGAUCCUUGCAUUUCAAUGCGGGAUUCAACCCAUCUUACCAUGUCUAUGUCCUCGCCAAAAUUCCCAUCAGUUGGCAUUCUUCCACUCACUAGCUCCAUGAGCACAAUGCCCAUGCUGUAUACAUCACUCUUCUCUGUUGCUUUCAAAGAAUAAGCAUACUCUGCAAACGGAGAAACAUGUCGUUAGAACUUAGUUAUUCUGUUUAACUGAAUUCGCGACAACUAAAAGAUCAACAGCGAUACCUGGUGCAAUAUAGCCGUAAGAGCCUGCAAACCAUAAGUUCGACUCAGUAUCUACAGAAUCAUAGUUGCUCGUGAGAGCUUUUGCCAGUCCAAAAUCGCCCAAAUGUGCCUCCAUAUUUGAGUCUAGCAACACAUUGCUAGACUUGAUAUCUCUGUGAAUGAUUCUAGGCACACAAUCAUGAUGAAGAUACUCCACUCCUUGGGCCAACCCCACUGCUAUCCUCAGUCUCGCCUCCCAGUCAAGGCCUUUCUUCUUCUUGUGAUUGCUUGGUUGCUUAUGUAGCCAAUCCCACGCACUUCCGUUCUCCAUGAAUUCAUAGAUCAGUAAAUUUGAGUGCUCUCCUUUGUUGUUACAGUACCCCAACAACUUGACCAGAUGCCUGUGUCUGAUCCUACCAAGAGUCUUAAUUUCUCUCGCAAAGCUUUUGUCCAGCAUUGGAUCAUCCUUUCUUCGAAUCUUCUUGACUGCCACUGUUUCUCCAUUGAACAGCUGAGCUCUGUAGAUAGUUCCUGAUCCUCCAGACCCAAUCAUAAACUCUUCGCUGAGGUUGUUUGUGGCUUCCAUUAUGUCCUCCCAUCUGAUAUCAAGUCUGGCAGCAUGCUGCUGAAAUAGUGGUCGCUUUUGAGCCUGGGAAGAACUCGACCAAUAGGCACAGCUCCCUUCACUACUGGCCCCCCCUAUGACUUCUCGCCUGCUUCUAAAGAACAGGGCAGCUCCAAAUAACAGAAGAAUAAUUGCAACUACAGUAGAUAUUGCCGAUAUUACCACUACUGAUGACUGACUUAGACCUGAAUUCUUAUUUUCCUGGAAGUCCUUGCAGCUCUGGAGAGGACUUCCACAAAGAAGUGAAUUUCCAACAAAUGCCGCAACUGGCCAGUGAGCAAACCGCUUGUCCAGUUUCCCUUGGAGAUUGUUGUAAGAAAGGUUAAGCCUACCCAAGCUGAUCAUCUCACCAACUUUAGGAGGUACUUCUCCUGAAAGUUCAUUGUGAGAUAAAUCAAGCGCUUCAAGUUUCGACAGUGGACCGAUGGAGGAUGGGAUUAGACCAGUGAGGUUAUUGUAACUUAAGUCGAGAAUACUUUGGAGAUUCUGCAAACUCCCAAUCUCACUAGGAAUUUCUCCACUUAAGCUGUUUCGGGCAAGAUGAAGUUCGUAAAGCUUACUUAAGCCACCAAUGGUUGAAGGCAUAGGACCAGAAAGUUGGUUAGCAUCAAGAUUGAGGACGUUGAGAGAAUUGAGUCCACCAAUUUCGGGAGGAAGAGUGCCAUUGAGUGAAUUAUCGUUAAUAGAAAGCACUAGAAGUUUGGAGCAGUUAAAUAAUUCUUGAGGAAGAGGUCCAUAAAAGCGAUUAGAGGAGAGCUUCAGCUCACCCAAUAGAGGCAAAGUUCCAAGCCAAGAUGGAAUUGGUCCAGAAAGAAGGUUAUUAUUGAGAUCAAGAUGUGUCAGUUUCUUGCACGAUGAAAGCUGGAAAGGUAUAGAACCAGUGAGUGAAUUUCCUGAGAUAUCUAGAAGGGAUAGUUCCCUGAUAAAUCCAAAUGUCCAAGGGAUUUUACCAGUCAAUUGGUUGUUCCCUAAUCUUAACCUUUCAAGAGCAGGUGAAUAGCCUAAUUGUGAAGGGAUUUCUUGAUCAAAUGCAUUGUCUGUAACAUCAAAAGAAAGAAAGGAAUGCGAACUACAGAGUGCAGCAAUGCUACCAUUCAAUUUGUUACUUGACAAAUUGACUCUUGUCAGAUUUGAAAUUUUGAUCAGUUCAUCAGGGAUAGUACCUUCAAGCGAAUUAUUGUACAGCAUGAACUCUUGCAGAGCUUGAAGGUUACCAAAAGUGGGAGGAAUUCCACCAGAAAGCCGAUUAUCUGCCAAAUCAAGGAUUGUCAGUUCACGGCAAUUUCCCAAACUGGCUGGAAUCUCACCUGAGAGAUCAUUCUGUCUGAGAUGAAGGAAAUUCAGCUGCUUUAACAUUCCAAUUGUCAUAGGCAUCUGACCCGAGAAUUGAUUUCCGAAGAAAUCAAUCAUUUGCAAGCUUGAGCAAUUACCAAUCUCUUCAGGAAUCUCCCCAGAUAAUUGAUUAUCAUAAAGAUAAAGAAUCUGAAGGUUUCCUAGCAUUCCAAUCUCUCUAGGCAAAUUGCCCUUUAAAUUGUUUUGGUACAAUGCCAAUGUCUGCAGGUUACUGAGGUUGGCAAUAGAAGGAGAAAUUGUACCAACCAAAGUAUUGUUGUUGAGCAAGAGAUCAGUCAAUUCAGCCAACUCAUAAAGCUCUAAUGGGAUUGAGCUAUUUAGAGUAUUAUUAGAUAAAUCAAGUUGCUUCAAUGACCUGCAGUCUUUCAAUUCCACAGGAAUCCCACCAUAAAGUUGAUUUUGGGCUAGCAUCAAAUGUUCCAAAUUGGUGGUGUUAGUACAUAAUUCCUUUGGAAUUAGACCAGAAAGAUUGUUACUUGAUAAAACCAAGUAAUUGAUUAGACCCAUAUUACCAAAUUCAGCAGGGAUUCCACCAGAGAGCUUAUUGGCGGACAAGUCUAGAGUCUGAAGAUUUUGCAAGUUUGCCAAGGACUUAGGAAUUCCACCUUGAAGCUGAUUACCAAGCAGAUUCAAAUAUACCAAUUGACUCAUUUCACCAAGCUGGGCAGGAAUUUCACCUGAAAGAGUAUUAUUGGCAAGGUUUAGUGUCUGGAGAUUCUGAAGGCUACCCAAUUCUGCUGGAAUUGAUCCAUUCAAGUUAUUAAGGGCGGCAGUGAAUACAACAAGGUUAGAACAAUUCCCAAGCUCAGCUGGAAUAGGGCCAUCCAGCUGAUUGUCCUGCAAAAUCAAGUACUGAAGCUGCCCAAGUUUACCUAACUCUGGAGGUAUAUGACCACUAAGACUGCAUGAGGCCAGGCCAAGAAUGAUCAAAUUAUCAAGAUUACCAAAAGAAGCAGGAAUAGGCCCUGUGAGGCCAUUGUCACCAAUUUUGAGAAUUUGGAGGUUGAUGAGAAUGCCAAGUUGAGAAGGAAUGGGACCAGAAAGCUGGUUAGAGUAAAGAAGCAAAGAUUCCAAAGAAGAAAGGUUUGAAAGAGUAGUUGGAAUGGGGCCUGAGAGCUGAUUAGAAGAAAGAUCAAGUUGGAGCAGGUCAUGCAAAAGGCCUAGGGAAGGUGAUAUUGUCCCACCAAGUGAAGAAUCUGAAAGAUUGAGACUCACCAGUUGCAGUGAGCCAUCAGCUGGAUUUCUUGCGCAUGAGACACCUCUCCAUGUACAGAAAUUUGGGUUGUUUAUGGACCAAUCUUGCAGCACAUUCUGGGGGUCUUGAAACGACUGUUUCACCUCCAAAAGAACUUGAAGAGUUGAUGAAGAAUUUGCACCCUGGCAUGACACUGAUCCACUUGAAAGAACGAUGACUAGAACUACGACAAGAACUGAUAAAACUUGUCUCAGAAAUGCCAUCUUUUUUUUGUUGUUGCAAAAGGGAUAAGAAGAAUUGUUGAGACAAGCUAUGAAGAUGAGCUAAGAAGAAUGAAAGGGCAAGGGAGAGAGAGAAGAAAGAGGCUGAAAUUUAGGACUAAAAAAGGUUUGACUAAGAGGAGGACUAGUGUUGUCAAUCUCCUUCUGCUGCUUCUGAUGAUCCUGCAUGGGUUCCAUGAGUUUUUGCUGUUUGGUUGUAGGCAUUCAAGGACAACUGUAAAUCUUGGUCUGGGAUGGUGAGAACUGAGAAGACGCGUGGGAUUCUUAAGGCAGUGCAUGCAGUUUUUGGCUAUAUAUUUCUUGAAAAAUGUAAAGGCUAAUUGACUGAUGUGGAGUUGGGGGUUUGGUAUUUGUAGAACUUUAUUGUUGAAGCCUUAAAAUUGAUGCCAAAUAAAAGAUAAGCAACAAAAGAUAGAGCUACCACAGCCACCCUGCCAUAACCAUUAAUGGCCACCGCUCUCCUAUUCCAUUCAGAUGGAGAGAGAGAGAAAGACAAAGAUAACAAGGAAAGGAAAUUAAUUGAAUGGAAUUGUGAUUGGUAAGACAAUGGUCAAUGAAAAGAAGCCCCAGAAGGGACCAAAAAACCAAUUUAAAAGUAUAGAAAGUUCUUAAUGGAACAAAGAAAUAAAAGGUUUGUUCGACUAAAUGCACAAAGAGUGUGUGUGAAUGUGCGUGAAAAUGUGGAGUAUAAAAGCUUGCAUGAGUGGAAGAUACAGUGGUUGAAGUGAAGACUGAAAGUUGGUGGAUUUGCCAGUUUUGGUGUAUUAGCUCAAAACAACUAUGAACAUACAUGAAAGUGAUCCGUUGGAUUUCCAAUUUAUCUGUUAGUUUGUGGUAGUUUUUUUCUUUUUUGAAAAAAAUAUGUACGAAGGAGGGAGGGGCUGAGGGAACAUAAGAUUAUUGAGUCAACCACUUCAGGUCCCCACGUCAUAGCUAUAAAACAAACUUCCUACUCUCAUUCUCUUUUCUGUGAUUUUACGUUUGCAGAUUUUGCUGUUUCUUAGACAAAGAGGAAACUUAUUCUUUAACUUUGUGAUUGGAUUGAGUUAACCAAAUCCUUGUGUCCUUUUGCAGCCUCUUUCUGAUUGAAUGGUUGCAUUGAGGCUUAGACUUUUGCUUCCUAAUCCAAAAUCCAAGCCUUUCAUCUCCAACGCUCCAAACAUUUUUUUGAGCUCGCAUUACACUUUUACUAGAACAAGAAAUCCAACUACUUCAAGAUUUCUUCUGUUUAGUAUCUGAUAACAAUUUACAUUUUACUUACGUUUCAAGUUACUAACUUUCUAGGUUGCCCUUUUGGUGGAUUCAACUUGGUAGAUUCUUGAACUUUAAGCUGCCCAAUUGAUUUUGCAUUUUUUUUGCCUUCACACAUCAAGAAUAGAAAUCAAAAGGGAAAAGAUUACUAGUAAUAGUCUUUACAAAAUUUUUCUUGGGGAAAAUAUAGCAUACUUUUUACCAGAGACCUAUAAAAAUAAAUGAAGAACCUACAAAACCAACACCAUCCUCUCUGUAGCUCUGUGAAGCUAUACACAGAACUUUGCCUUAGUUGAUAUUUCCUACUUAAUGCAACUCCUGAUUUGCACACAUGGGCCUAAACUGCCUUCAUUGAAAUGGUUUUUUUAUCUGGUUAUUCUGGAAUUUAUGAUUUCUCAGUUUUUAAGUGCAAGUUCCUACUCUGAAAAUUUGUGAUGUUUGAGAAGAUGUGGCCACAGUCAUAUAUAUAUAUAUAUAUAUAGAUCAGGGAUAAAACUAUAGAUCCACCAUUGAGACCCCUGUAUAUAUUUGGCAAAAAGUCAAUCUAAAAUGUCCAAUGGAAAAUUAAAAAUUUUUAACGGAGUUAAUCAUGUGCAAUGCAUGUGCACUAUUAAAAAUGAUCGUUUUGGUCCAUUAUUCAAAGUUGUGCUCAAUUUUGUCAUUUCAACAAUACAAACCCCAAUUUUUACAAAAUAAAGUUACUAUAGGAGUUUUGAUGGGAUAUUUUAAAAAAUGCUAAUGGAGCCAGUUUUGUACACUAUAAAUCUACAUUUGAAAUAAAAAAAAUGAAAAAAAACACACACACACACACAUACUAAUGGGUAUGUGGUGAUAUGUAAGGGAUACAAUUGGAUACGAUCAAUGAUAAUGUAGCAAAGUGGUCAUUUUUAAUUGUGCACCAGGGUGACACUGCUAAAAAUUUUUAAUAUUUCAUUAGAGGGUCUUGAUUGGCUUUUUAUAAUAUAGAUAAAGGAGUUAAAAUAGCCGCGGUGAUAAAUUAGAACUAAAUUGACAAAUACUCCAAACAUAAGGGACCAAAAUGGCUAUUUUUCCUUCUGGACUCCUACUAGUUUUAAGAUAUUCGACUAAUAGUGUGCCAGAAUGGUGGUACAUUUAGAACUAUAGGGUCACAAAUCACAUUUUACUGGAUUGAAAAUACAAAGCCAUUUUGAAAAACUCUUAAAAGUGGAAAGCUCAUUUUGACAGGAUUAGAGUACUGCCUGCACAAUGCCAAUGGUUAUUUCCUACUUAUAUCUGUUUAACAUCCCAAGUUGAAACCCUAAACCAUACAACAGAAUUGUGCAUAAGAGUACAAUUUGCGAAAUGCAUCAUACCAGAUUCAAUCUUCAUUAUUGCCUAAAUCAUUAGGUAAGAUUAAUCUUGCAAAUAUAAAUCAUUAGGUAAGGUUAAUCUUGCAAAUAUUCUGUGCUAGUACAUAAAUUUAAAUUUAUUUGUAUUCAUUGCCAAAAAAGAAAAGAAAAGAAAGAUUAGCAAAUGUAUUUGCACUAGAAGACCUUGAAAGAGAAAUUAUGUGGUAUUCAAUGGGAUGCAUUUGGUUUGGUGCUGUAAAACACUCUUAUUGAUAAUUCAGUCAGCAUAUAUAAUGCAUCCUUAUAUAUAUAUAUAUAUAUAUAUAUAUAUAUAUAUAUUGUCCUUUUUUAUUUCCUAUUUCUUCACUAUCAACUUCUAACAUUUUCUCUUCAUGAGAAGACAAAGAUUAUUAGUUAAACUAAAAAGGAAUCCCUUAAUAUCUUAUACAAUCUUGUAAGCAUUAUACACUCGAAUAAAAAAAAUUAUUGUUGAAAUCACAUCUGGCUGUGGAUGGAUCACGGACCUUCAUCUCAUUCAAACGUCCAUUGUCAUAUAAUACUAUUAUGAAUUGCCCAAAGAGUCAAGCAUAUUUUGGCUGGCAUCGUUUAUGAAUAGAUUACACUUAUUUUUUGUCCGUUAUUUAGUACUAAUACUAGUUUUUGUGAGUCAAAUAAUUUAUUUGGUACACAAAAACCAAAUCGUGUACGGCUGUUAAAUUUCCAUUAAACCUUCUAGAUUUUGUAACAAAUACAGAAGCUUUAGCUGAAUUCUUAAAACCACAUUAUUUGCUCUUUCUGAUCAUGAUCAUCAAAUAAUUAUACGAGACAAAGAAGAUUAAGAGAUGAUAUGUAUAUAUACAUUCCAUGCAAUGAUGUGUAGUUGUGAAUUGUGAUAGCUGUUAAGUCCUCAAUAAUUUGCAACAUAAUUAAAGAAGAUGCUUAGUCCAAAUGAAUGUGACAAAGAUGAUGAAUAUUAAACUCAUCAAAGCGUCAUUCCUUUGACAAUGCUUAGUCCAAAUUGGUACCAUAAGAUAAGACUGCAACAAGCAAAUAUUCUCCACGGCCUUAGUCAAAACCUCCUGUUACCUUCUCUUACGAAACCUGUGAUGAUAGUGAGAUGUAGUUGUGUGAAGAUUACCUCAGUAGUAACUUUGAUUGAUUGAACUGAUUGAAAUAUGAUAAACAUGAUGCUCUUGCAAAAGGAACUAUAAGCAAUAGUUACAAUUGGGCUCUUCUACUCCUCUCUAGAACUUUUUUCUCCUCCUUUUCUCUAGAAUUUUUUCAGUAAAAAUCUCCUUCAUCCCUCUCAUGGGAGAAAGAUCAAAUUUGGUCUUUUCUAUGGGAGGGAUCCAAGCACUUUCUCUAGGUUUUAAUUUAUCUUAUUUGAAUAAAUUCUUUCUUAAGGUUUCUUAGUGAGAGAUUUUUCUCUCCUAAUUAAGAUGUUCUAGCGAGAGUUUUCCUCUCCUAAAAUGUUCCGAUGAGAGUUUUAUUGAGUUUAUUCACUCCUAAAAUGUUCUAAUGAGAUUAUCAAUGUUAUCUUUAUUUGUAUUAAUUUCUUAAAUUUGUUGUAUCUAUUGAUUUCAGAUCUAUAUAUAUCUGUGUCACGUUUAUUUGAUGUAAUUUUUUUUACUAUUAGUGCAGAUUUAUUGAAUGAAAUGAUCUUUUCUAUAUAUAUAUAUAUAUAUAUAUAUAUAUAUAGAGCAAUAGUUACAAGUUAGUAGUAGCAAAUUACUAGUAUGGUACACUUUUUCAGAUAAAUUCAAUUACCCGUAGCAGUUGGCACAUUACCUAAAGUUCAAGGACUUAAUAGCCUGUCUAGUCCUUUUCAACUGAGGGUUCUAAUAAGUCUUUGGGAAAAUGACCUAUUUUAUUUCUUAUAGUUUGCAAAAAUAUUCUUUUCGUCCCUCACUUUUAAAACGAAACAAAUUCAUCCCUAACAUUUAAAAAGUAAAACUAUUAUAUCCCUGAACCUAAUUUUCAAUCUGAAUCAAAUCACCUAUCAACCUGAUUACAAAUUUUGGAGGUAUAAUUGGUAGAUCACUUGGUUAACUCAACUUGAUAUUCAAUUGAAAUUUAACGAACCACAAAAAAUAAAAAAUUAUAACAUAAAAAAGAAUGAUUAAUCUUUCCUACAUUGUCAUUGUAUACACUGACGGGUUUAUGUACCUGCCACAUCAUUUCAAUUUAAAUUUAAACACCAAAUUUUGUAUUUGUGAUAUACAUCUAGACUCGCAAGCGUAUAUACUAACGAUGCAUGAAAAGAUUUAUUCAAAAUAGAAACCUUACUGUUCCAAAACAAAGAAUGGCCUUUUAUGUUAUAAUUUUUUAUUUUUUUUGGUUUAAUAAAUGUCACGCGAAUAUGAUGGAGUUGACUGAAUGAUCCAUCAAUUCUAACUCCGAAAUUUAUUACAGAAUUAUUGGAUAGUUUGAUUCAAGUUGAAAAUUAGGUUCAGGGAUGUAAUAGUUUUAAUUUUUAAAUGUUAGGGACGAAUUUGCUUCGUUUAAAAGUGAGGGACGAAAAGAAUAUUUUUGUGAAAUGUGAGGGAUCCCACAGGUCAUUUUCCCCAAGUCUUUUGUCCAAUGUCUUACUUGAUCCGCCAACUUCCAAUUACAAGCAGCACCUCAUGACUUUUUUGUAUACCAAAAAUUCAGACAAAAUUAUUGGGAGAAUUUUAAGUUUAUUUGCUUUAUAACCAAGGUAAUAAAAAUCACAUCAUAUGACAUAACUCUUUUUUUAACCUUUGUUUUUGUGGUUCCUAUUUCUUGUGUUAAAUUAUGUAGCUAGCAUCCCUCAAAUACUUGAAAAGUUUGAUUGAUUUUUUUUCCCAAAAAAUCAAGUGACAUAAAAGAAGGGGGGGUUUCAAAAUAAAAUUUUGUCGUUGAACUAGCCUGAGUAGAUGAGAACUGAGAAGAGGAGUCCAAUGUGUCAAACAAACAAAGUCAGAUUCUGAAAGGGAAGCUUACCAGCAGCAGAGCACCAGAAUUGAGAAAAGAGGACAUUGACCAGAAUCGACUAGUCUAAAUUGUGCAUGGAUGCGUGGAAAUUUGCCAAGACAACUCGGUUUGUGAAACUUGAAUGUCUGUUCGGCUUGCUAGUCUAGUCUCACGUGCUCCCAAGUUCAUCAGAAAUUUGACUUGUAAACUUUGCAUAUGCUGAUAUUCACAGAAGAAAGAAACAUCUCAUUCUUGCUCAGGCUAUGGUCUAUGUGCCAUCACCAUCUGUAUAAAUGUACAGUUCCCGCUUCCAAUUUCAAGUUUUCAACUUCAACCACCCCCACCCCAACACACACACACACAUACAUACACACUGACACUGCUAUUUGACAAAGCAAAAAUCAAAUUGAGUUUGUUCAGAAGAUUAAUUGGAAAAAUUUUUUGAGUAUGAUACUAUAGGACUCCUCUGAUGUCAUAUUGGAACGGUUAGUCUUGGAUGAAUGAUAGUUAUGUAAUAGUUAAAAUUCAACUUUUAUAUACGUGUCGUGAAUAUAACGAUCACUGUAUAUAAGAAUUAUUCAUAAUAUUAUAGCGUUUUUUUUAUAUAAUAUAUAUAUAUGGUAUUAAAAGAUAUUUAAAAAUUUGUUUUUGAUGCAACUAAAAAUAAUAUUUCUCCAAAUCAUGUACUGUUCAAGUUGAUUAUGCCCGUUUCUUGACAAAAGCCACACAUAAAAAACUCUAUCACACACACACACACACACAACCUGCUAUUUGACAAAGCAGAAAACAUUUGAGUUUGUUCGCCAAAUUUUAAGCAUAAUAUUAUAGCACUUUGUUGAUGUAAUACAUAUGAGAUAAACAAGUAAUUAAAAAAUUUUUUUUUAUGAUAACAGAUUGCUGCAAUAAGUUAAAGUUGACUAUGCCCUUUUCUUGAUUUCACAUGCACAUUGUAGAGACUUUUCUUGAUUAAUCUUAGUAAAGCAAAAAACUCUAAUUUGAUCCACGACAUAACUAUCACCAGCACAAUAUGGGCUUCCAUCUUUGAACUCUUCACAAUGGCAACCUACAAUUAAUUUAUGGUUGCUGUAGAAUUACUAGUAAAACGUGGGGAAGGAUCUUUACAUUACCAAAGAUGUAAUGUGAAACAGUGAAAUCAUCAAUUAGAAUUAGGUAGACGAAGAGAAUAUUUGAAUAUACGUGUAGAGGCAUAUGACUAGAGGCAAAGUUUCUGGCAAUAGUAACUGGAUCAGACUAAUGAAGACUCCUUGCUAUAUGGGUAACUCUGUAUGUAUGACAUGCUAGCUAACAACUUGACCUACUACCCACAUAUUUCAAGGUUGAAGUCUCAAGAUUCAAUUUUGGUCAUCACCUAAAAAAAAUAUCUAAUGAUUUCAAUUGACCUUUCAAAUGAUAAAAAUUAUUAGUUUUUUUCUUCUUUUAACUAGCUAGUUAUCUAACUGCAAUCGAGCAAAGUUGCAAAAUCACAUUGACUUUAGAUCUUAAUUAUAGCUGUUAAGACGAAAAUUAUUCAUUCAAGACAUGAUGUUUAAGGGGGUAAAACAAUAAUUAACUUUUGUUCAUUUCAAGUAAUACACUUUACCUAUUUGAGGGCUUAGUAAAAUCAUCUCAAAGUCUUAAUAGAAGGAUCAUAAUUCCAUGAUGCUGCUAUUUCAUUAAAAAAAAAAAAAAAAUUCAUGGAGGUCUGUGUUCCCCUAUCUUUGGACAGACCAUUUUUUGCAAAAAAAAAAAAAAAAAAAAAUCAGAAUAACGCUGUUUAGUAAUUUUUUUUUUGUUUUUUCACACACCUUUUUAUUUUACAUACAAUAUAUUACAAAAUGAUCUACAAUAUUAUUCCAAUAAAUUUUGGUUAAAAUAAUCUACUAUCCGCAUGCACUAAUCUAGAUAUCUUUCUCUAGCAUGCAUGUCUUCUCUACCAUAUAGUAAAGUAUAUUCUGACCUUCAAUUCCAUCAUCUUACUUGUCUGUCUUCUCCGAUUUUCAACUAUUCUUACAAGUGUUAGGAAGAUUAAAAAUUUUGGCUAUUUCAAUCACCAAGUAAAUGGUAUCGUUAGAAAAAAAGAAAUCACUAAGAAACUCUUACUCAACAUCAAGAUCCUGUUUCACUUGGAUAUUUCAAUCGAUUUUGCCUAAAAAAAAUCGAUUUAAAAUCAUGACAUAUCUAAACUAUAAAUACAAAUAUGAAACUUUCUAAAAUUAAGGAAAUAAGCCAUUAUUUAUUUCUGUAUGUCAUUUAGAUUACAAUUUUUCUUUUCAAUAUAAACAACUCAUGGGCAAAUAGAAAGAAGGAUCCUUAAAGUUCUCUCCAUUAUCAGGUUCAGAAUUUAAAUCAUAUACUUAAUAGUUCGAGAAUGGAAAGGGUGUGGAAGGGUAAAAAGAAUGGGAAAUUUGUUUAAAACCCCUCACAUUUUGUCAAAUGUAUUUUUUCAUCCUUCACUUUUAAAAUGUUAAUUUUAUAUCCCUCAUAAAUUCAAAUUAGCCAAAUUUAGUUCUAUCUUAAGUUUCUAACCAUUUUUUAAUUUGAAAUCACCAUAUGACUCACAUCUAGUCAUUUUUUAUGUACAAGGAUCCCAUUUUUUUAGUGGUAAAAAUGAAGAUGAAUUGGAUUAGAUUUUCAACUUCUUUUUUUUUUUUUGAAAAAAGCUAAUUGUGGUUCAUGGAAUCUAACUUUUUUUGGUCUUCAAAAAAUGAUUACGUAUGGGUCACCUAAUGGAUUCAAGGUAAAAAGUGGUCGAAAACUUAGGUUGGAACUAAAUUUUUACCAUCUUGAUUGCGUAAGAGGCGUAAAGUUUCUAUUUUAAAAAUGAAGGAUGAAAAAUUUCAUUUGCCGAAAUGCAAUGGCCAUUCUAAACGAUUUGUCCUUAAAAGAAAAAGAAAAAGAAAAGCUCAUGGGCGAAUCAAGAGCUUUUCCUCAGAGUAAGUUUUAUAUUCCACAUUGGACCAGAUCAAGUUAACUUAAUUGGAAUCAGUUUUUGAGAAAAUUAAAAAGAAAAAAAAAAACAAAUUCAACAUUAUGUCGGUCCAAUUUGAGCGUCAACUGUUCUUUUCAGAUUGCCAAGCGGGCAAACCGCUCAUGGGCCACAAUAGUCAUGGGUAUAGGCUCUGUAGUCAGAGGGCUGGCUUAGGUACCCCAAUAUGCUAUCGUUUGCCAUGUGCUGCCAUGAUACUUUGAUUCUUGAGUUCUUAAUAACUAGUUUUUCAGCCCUGACGCCAUGCGUCAGGUAGCUGAGACUCAUUAUUUUGCUAUUAUAUUUGUGUGUUUUUUUCUUUGUUAAAUAUAGUAGUCAUGUGUGUGACUGUGUGUUUUUUUCUAAUUGCACAAAUAAACAUGAUUUUGAAAUCAGGUUAUCUUACAUUCUUAAUAUAGCAUUAAUCAGUAAGUAAUGUCUAAAAUUCGGCAGAACUAAAAGGCAUGAUUAUUUAACAUUCUUAAUGUAGCAUUAAUCAGUGAGUGAUGCCUAAAAUUAGGUCGAACUAAGAGGCAUAUGGCUAUACAUGUAAUGUGUAGCCUUGCUUAGUAGUCACAUUACUUCUCUCAGACAAGCAAUUUGAUAAUUUCCAUUUUUUUUUGACAAUUUUUGUUUGCUAGUACUUCACAUUUAACAAUCUUUUAGAAGAAAGAAAUAAAGAAAGACAAUUAUAAAAUGGGUUUGUCAUUUACUUUUGUUUGCUAGACUUGAAUGAGCAUUCAAACGUAUUUAAAAAUAUUUUCAAACAGAUGUCAAUUUGAAUUAAUCUUUUUUGUAUAUUCAGUGGUUUUUUUUUUUUACAUUAAUAGGUCUAUAUUCAUGACACAUAAUUUUUAUUCAACUCUAACCCACCAUGACCUCGGUUUAUAUAUACUACUAUUUCUCCUACUCAGGAUUUCAUAUUGGAUCCUAUUCUUUUUGUUGCAAUUCAGAUGAUUGUUUGAUUAGUAGAUUAAAAGUGUUCAAGAAUGGAGGGAGCAACAAUGGUUUCUUUGGACAGGACAUUAUCUAUUGAAAAUGAGACUCGAACUCUCAAUAUUGAACAACUUUAACUUGCAAGGGUGAAUAUACAUAUUUUCUAGCUUAUUUUUCUUUCUUUCUUCCCUUUUUUAGGCUAUCUAUCUCUUUGUUUUUUUUUUUUUGGACAUUUUGAUGAUUUUGGUUUUGAUAAUUUGUAUAGGAGGCAACACUUUAUGCGGUGAGUACGAGGAGCAUGGAAGAAUCUCUUUGAAUUUUCACUAAGAUAAUGGCUUAGAUAUAUACAAUAUCUAAUAAUUUCUUGAGUUUAAAAUUUUUCUUUUCUAUUUUCUAGGUUCUUUGGAUUUAUAAUUCUUACUUAUUUGAUGAUUCUUUCUCUUACUUGGUUGAUGAUUUUUUUUGUUAAUCUGUAUCAUAAGCUGCAAAAUUAUAGGUUAUUUUGUGUUCUUAAAUCAUGUGCUAAAAUAGGUGAGUUUAUCUUUUUCUUUUUAUUUUUUAAUAAAAAUGGUAUUCAAAAUCAAGAGAUAGUUGGAAUUUUUAAAUGGUGAAUUCCAAAUCAACUUGUGUUUAAGGAUAGGUUAGAAUAAAAUGCUAAGAAAUAACUGGUGGAACUAUUCUACAAAUGGAGUAAUAAACUCGUGUUUAAGGUUAGAAAAUAUGUAUUUAUUUAAUCAUUUUUUCAUGCUCAAAAGAAAAAUGUUGGACCUACUGUAAAAGUUCAAAAACUAUAAUCCAUGUCUUAAACUGCAUUUUUUUAUGAAGAAAGUUCAUCCUUUUGAAAAAAAAAAAAAAAGAAGUUUACAUGGGGAUCAUUUUAUAUAUAUAUUUUUUUAUUUUUUUGCAAAAUAGAAGGACCUCUAACCAUUUUAACUCAAGAAACAAUCGGGCAGCAGCUUGCAGCAAAGUGCAAAGACCAAAACACCAACAACUAAGUCAGCCGAAAGACCAAAAUAGCCCUCAAUUGCAAACUUGUUUCUGUCCAAGACCAAAACGUGGAGAACAGCGAAUAUCCGGCAAAACCACUGCCACCCAUCAGCAAAAGAAUGUCCAAGCCCAAUUGAAGCAUAUUUAACAUUUGAACAUGCCUGGAUUGCAGCCGAGAACCAGAACUCGUUCGGAUGCUCUCCAUGUUCGAUCAUAUCAAAGAAUGUAAAAAUCGCUUCUAGUUCCAUAUUACUAUGCGCAAAGCAGGAAAUAAUAGCGCUGCAAGAAACCAAGUCUCUCUUCUCACCCAUAGUUUCAAAUAUGUUUUGAGCAGUUAGCCAAUCGCCGUUCUUGGAGUAGAGGCUAAUGAGGGAAUUGAGCACAAUGGAGUCGAGUUAGAGCUUUGAGUCGAGGAUCUUAGAGUGAAUAAGCUUCUCGAGAUGGAAGUUUCGGGUCCGGAUGCAGGAUUUUAGGAGGACGGAGUAGGAAGUGAGGUCAGGGGUGAGGCCAUUUUGGUCCAUAAAAUCCAGAGUGGAGAUUGCUCUUUUGAUGUUGCCGGCAUCUGCAUGGCGGAUUAGGUUGUCCUUGAGAGUUUCAAACUUGGGUUUUGUCUUGCGGCGAUGAGUUGGGGAGAGGCUCUGGUGAGAAGGGGGGGAACUGGAUCUGCGUACGGGCGGUUGAAGAGGAAAGAGCUUGGCGGGAGAGGGAGAAGAGGCCCACGCGGACAGAAGCGAAUUUCCAGCAAAACCGCUGCCACCCAUCAACAAAAUACCAAAAAGCCCCUCAAACUCACAAAAAUAACGGCAUAACCGGCCCAUUUUUCACUGUUCACAAGCGGAUUCUCGCUUUAUAUAUGUAAGAGAUAUUUUCUCUUUUCCAAAUGUUCUUCUUAAAAAUUUCUCUUUUUCAAAUUAUUUCUACGUCUUCCUUAGAAGGUUUAUAUGAUUUGAGUGCUUCACGUACAAGAAGCUUGCUCAAUUUUUGAGUCUGCAGGCAACUGUGAAAGCAGCCAAGGAAAUGUUAUAUACUAGUUUUGACAACCUCAAAAAUGUCUUCAAAUAGUAAGAGCUAAAAUUUGGCAAAAUUAAAAAGCCAUUUCGUUCAAGAACAUUUAACCUAUAUCCAAUGAAAUGAAAUCAAACGUUAUAAUUGGUGGGAUAGUCAAAUUUUAAUCCAAAUGGCACCAUCCAUCAUGAUACUCAAAAACAAAAUCGAAAUAAGAGAAAAAAGUCAGCAACUUAAUUUUGGUGGUUAAGGUUUUAAUAAUUACUUAAUUUGCUCUUUCCUUUUGAAGAAUAUUGCAUAUGUCAACUAAUCUUCUAUUUUAGUUCUGCUUCUGCCAUGUUGUUGUCAAUCAAUUGGAUUAAUCUUUCUUACAUUGACAGUGUAUGCACUGUCAGAUGAAUGACAACUAUGCAAAAUUUGAAUUUGAAAUUUAAUUUUUACACACAUAUUAUAAAUCCAACGGUGAUAAUGUAUACACUGUCAGUGUAGAUAAGAUUUACUCUAAUCAAUUUUCCUACAACAGUGCUGCCUUCAAUCUAUUUUUUUUUUUUUUACAAUGGGUUUAAUGUGCAACUAAUAGAAUGCCACUGACACUAAAGAAAUGAGUAAAUCUUUUAUACACUAUCAUGGUUGGAUGGAUGACACAUGAGCAAAACUUUAAUUUCAAAUUCAAAUUUUUGCAUAUGUGUCAUAUAUCUAACAAUAAUUGUGCAUACACCGACAAUGUAUACAAGAUUAAUCAUAAAGAAAUAUGUUUGUUUUGACUUUUGAACAAAGGUUCGUUUUAUAAUACUUAAUUUGUGAGUCUCUUGCUAUUGGAGAAUGUCUCCUCACUUUUUAUUUUUUAUCUCAUUUGGUGGGUUUUCUCUUAAGCAUUGGACAAUGAUUAAAGCAGGUCAUUUAGCAUAUAUAUGCUCAAUUAACUACUACAUGCUUGCACGUCAUGUUUUCAAAUGUGUGUCUCACGUAUUUUUCUGAAAUUCACUAUAGUGCAAGUCACGUACUUCAACUAGAACCAAUUAAUUUAAUCUUUACCACUUUGUGCUGCUGAAAUCUCUCUCUCUCUCUCUCUCUCUAUAUAUAUAUAUAUAUAUACCUAUUGAUCACUCACUAAAAACUCAACGAACCCGAAAAUCAAAUCAAGCAAAACACUCCUAGCUUGGCCAAUUGUACAAAAGGAACAAAACCAUGAAAUUCUCCGUCUCUUUGUGCUUCUUGGUCUUCUUUUUUCUUGAAACUUCUGCAUUUGAUGAUGAUGCUUUGUCUUUCCUUCAUUAUUAUAGAAGCUGCCCAGAUGUUGAAAAAAUAAUCCACAAUAAAGUCAAACAAUGGGUUGCCAAAGAUUACACACUUGCUCCUGCCCUCAUGAGGUUGCACUUCCACGACUGUGCUGUUAGGGUAAGCAUUAUUUCCCUACAGAAAUAUCAUUUACUACAACUUGAACUUAUAUAUAUAUAUAUAUAUAUAUAUCUCAUUUUCUAAUAAAUUUUGUCAAUCUUUUAGCUGUCCCAAACAAAUAAUUGCACCUUAUUUUCCUAGAUAUAUAUAUAUGUAUGUAUGUAUACGUGUGUGCGGGUGACUCACUUAUCUAUUAUUACUUCUUGCCUCAUUUGGUCAUAAAUUAAAUGUCAACAUCUGGUUAACAUAAUGACAUUCUAAUUAAAUUUCAACCUUUUAGGUCCAGUGAUUAAAUCACGAGUCGAAUUUCAUCUUUUUCAUGAACGUAUUGAAUAUUACGUAGUUAAGUUACGUAGAUUAAUGAAUUUAUUUCUUGAUUAUCGAAUAGGGAUGUGAUGCCUCAGUUCUUUUGAACCAUCAAGGAAGUGAAAGAAGGUCUAAUGUGAGCAAGUCAUUGAGAGGAUUUGAAGUGAUUGAUGAUAUCAAAGCAGAGAUUGAGAAGAAGUGCCCUAAGACCGUCUCCUGUGCUGACAUUCUCACUGCUGCUGCUAGAGAUGCAACAGUUUUAGCUGGAGGUCCAUUCUGGCAGGUCCCAUAUGGGAGGAAAGAUGGACGAGUUUCCAUUGCCAAGGAAGCUGAAAUGGUUCCCAUGGGCCACGAAAGAGUCACCGAUUUGAUCGAAUUUUACCAGUCCAAGGGUCUGAAUAUACUGGACUUGGUUGCCCUCUCAGGUAUGCAAAUCUUCUUUUUGAUGAUGAGGAAAAAGAAGCUAAAAUGUGGUGCAGUCCUUUUUAUUACAAUAGGCCUGUUCUCAUUUUGAUUUUUGUAGAAAUUGAUUUUUGGAAAGCAAAAGCUUGAAUUCAAUAUGCAGGUAUCUUAGAGCUUCUGAUUCUGGCCUUUUUUUUUAUGAUUCGAAAGUAAAAAAUUGAAAGAAAAAGUCGUUGAGAAUAUCAUAUCAUAUAACCAAUUUUAUAGAAUGAAAAACUAAAAGCAUGUCCAAGAAAUCAGUUAAGAACAUGCUCUAUCGUUCGAACGGUAAAAUGAGACUUCUCUAUGUGUAGGAAGCAACCAUUCAAUCACUAGAAUAUAACUCUUCAACUCUUCAAUGAUAAGCGCCAUUUUCUCAUUGCAUGCCAUUUAUUUUACAGGAGCUCAUACAAUUGGAAGAAGCACAUGCGGAUCCCUGCAGUUCAGAUUGUUCAACUACAUGGGAACUGGAAAGCCUGAUCCAACCAUCAACCCCAAGUAUCUAAAUUUCUUGAGGAGAAAAUGCAGAUGGGCAUCGGAAUACGUAGACCUUGAUGCCACCACCCCUAAGACCUUUGAUGUUCAGUACUUCAAGAAUGUUCAGAAUAAGAUGGGGCUCCUAAAAACUGACCAAAUCCUCUAUUCUGAUUCAAGGACAGCCCCUCUUGUGAAUGCAUUGGCUUCCCAAACUCAUGUCUUUCACCAUCAGUUUGCAGCAUCCAUGGUGAAACUUGGGAAUAUUCAAGACUAUUUGAGUGCUGAUGACGGUGAAAUUAGAGUGAAUUGCAACUAUGUCAAUGCUUAAGGAAUUGAAAAUACUGAAGAUUAAGACUACAUCCUCAGUGUUGGUGGCGGAUUUAUCUGUAUUUUAAGACUGGAAUUUUGUUUCUCAUUCUUGUUUCAUUUCUUCUUGUCUGGCUGUAGCGUUUCACUGGCCAGUAUGACUUGAAAUGGAUUUAAGUUAGUUCGCUGUUGUUUCUGAUAUUUUUCAUUUAAGAAAACAGAAAUCUUUAUACUUCACCAUGCAUCUGAAUUUUGAUUACCUUUGAUGGCUUUCUAGUACAUUUUUCGGCUUGCAAGAUCUUGAAAUGUUUUAAAUAUCAACAGAAGGUCUAGGAAUAACUUACUAUGCUGGCUUUGGGCUAAAAUGUUUAAAUAUUUUCGGAAUUUUUUUUGGGGGGGCUAAGAUAUUUCCAACUCCUCAUCUAACAAGCAGUUGCAGUGGAUGGAUCAAUUGUGAUCAGAAAGUUUUAUAUAGUGUUUGGUUGCCUGGAAAAGGGAAGGAAAGUGAAGGAAAAGUGACUUCCUACAAGGUUUGAAUGUUUAUUUGAAUGUUCAUUAGAAUACUUAGAAUUUAUAAUUCAAAUAACCAGCUUGUAGUUAGACAUCUUAUUCUUAUUUUAUUUAAAGGGUUAACAACAUAAAAAUCCCCUGUGGUUUCAUAUCAUAUAUGUCGGUACCCCAUGGUUUGAAUUAUUCUGAAAAAUCGACGGAAAUCGUCAAAUGUAACGGGGUUAAGUGAAACGACGAAAAUACCCUUUUAAUAUAAGCGAAAAUUGCAGAAGUAUCUUGUACUGGUAUCGAUACUAAUGCUUCUCUCUCUAAUGCUCAAGAUUCUGAUCGAUUUGAAGGCGCAGGUGUUUCUGAAUGUCUCCAUGGCGAGGUUGAUAUUGGCAGUCACGAAACUUUUCAACCAAAUGGGGAUCAAACCAAUAGAACAGCAGAAUCUGGGGUAGUGUCUCAGUUGGUUGAAAGCAAAAGUGAAUGCCGCCAGACCAAUGGUAAUGAUGCGAUGCAGAUUGAUAUUCCUAAUGAUCUGAUGCAGCCAUGCAGGUUGAUAUUCCAGAUACUAAGUCUUUAGAGGACUAGAAAGAUAUAGGAGUUGGAGAACAGUACCAGCAUGAUGGACAGGUUAACCAUAAAGAGCAAGAUUUAUCAAGUCCAGAAAAUGCUUCUGAGACGGACCCAACAGAAAGAAUGGACGAGAAAACAGAAAAGCUUCCAAGCUUGCUGAGUAUACAUCAAGCUGGAUAUGUUUCGCCACCACAGAAUGAAAAUGAAUUCUCCAUAAUAGAUUUAGUUUGGGGAAAAGUCAGAAGCCAUCCUUGGUGGCCUGGACAAAUAUCUGAUCCUGCUGAUGCUUCAGAGAAGGCAGUCAAAUAUUACAAAAAGGACUGUUUUCUCGUAGCAUAUUUUGGAGACCGAACUUUUGCUUGGAAUGAUACAUCUCUACUAAAGCCCUUCCGGCCACAUUUCUCUCAGAUAGAGAAGCAAAGUAACUCAGAAGCAUUUCAAAAUGCUGUUAGCUGUGCUUUGGAUGAGGUUAAAAGACGUGUUGAGCUAGGUCUAGCCUGCUCUUGUAUACCAAAGAGAUGCAUAUAAAAGAUUGAAUAUCAGAUUGUUGAAAACACUGGGAUCCAAGAGGAAUCAAGCAGAAGAAAAGGUGUCGAAGGGUAAAGUUCUCUUGUUAUUAAAGUGUGAAGGGUAAAGUAGGCAUAUUAGGAACAAGUUUGUAGUAGAAAUCUAUUUUCCACAAGAAACACGCGCAUUUCCAGUGCGUUUAAGACAAACGCCGUACAUUUGACGAUUUCCGUCCAUUUUUCAAAAUAAUUCAAACUAUGAGGUACCGACGCGUAUGAUAUCAAACCACAGGGGGCUUUUCUGUAUGAUAGCUAUACCACAGGGAGCUUUUUUGUUUUUAACCCUUAUUUAAAAAAUUAAUGAAUUAAUAAUUUAUUGAAUUUAUAUGAUGUUAGUAUUAUUUUCUUCUACAUGUAUAUGAAAUUAGUGUAUAUAUAUAUAUAUAUAUAUAUAUAUAUAUAUAUAUAUAGACACACACACACAAACUUAUUGUUAAAGAAUGUGAUUAAUUUUCAGGUAAGCAACUCUUCCAUUAUGCAAAAUGUUAUAGUUAUUACAUGUUUUUACAUAUAUUAAAUACCAAAAAUGAAGAACUUCAAUAUUGAAUUUUUUUUAUUAACAGACAUACUAGCCAAUUUUUUCGUGACUUUUCAACUAAACAAAGAUAAAAAUUUUAUAUUUUCUUGCAUCAUUUUCUUGUUAACCAAACACAUGUGAGAAAGUUAUUUUGCUUUUCCUGUACCUCACUUCAUAUCACUUAUCCCAUGGCACACUUUCUUGCAUGAUUUUUCCCUCAAACAAAUAAAAGGGUAAAACAAUUACUCACUACAAGAAAAGAAAAGUAAGGAAAAGUCGAGCAUAAGUUUUUCUGGAAAAUCUGGGCUUUAUGACGGGGCUUUACUAUUGCCAGAAUGAGUACGCUUCGGAUCGAGAUACUACGUUGUUCUGUGUACAGAAGUAUGUAAGGUCCAAAGAAAGUCCCUGGCCAACCCAUAUAACUAAUAGAACCAAAGUAAGAGUAGCAUGUAUCUAGUGUUCUUCAAAGGAUCACCUAGGUGAUCGAGAAGGCGUUCGUCUAGUAGUUAAGGUUCAGCUUUCAAGAAUUAAAGAUUUUGAAUUCAAAUUUCUUUACUCCUUCUCCGCAUCUUAAGUCCGACCCCUCCAUUAUUGAAAAAAUCAAAUCCAAAAGCUAACUCAGCUUGCAGGUGAAGUAGUGAUAGGUCUUAGAUUCGACUCCUAAAUUAUCGUUUUUCUAUGUAAGAUUUAAAGUCUCCUUUAAAAUAAUGAAAUAUGAAACAACAAAAACCAUCCAAAUUAGUGCUUGUAAGCCUAUGACAUUAGACCAUUUUUACUAAGCCUUAGGCCCUGUUUGAUUAUCCAAUUCAAUACUUAAAUUUAAUGAAUUCAAAUCUUAAUAUGUUCUGAUGUGUUUGAUAAUUAAAAAUCGAACAUCUGAAUUAAUUAAGUGGCACUAAAUUUUUUAGGUAAAAUUUGCUCCAAACAAUAAGUGACAAACUAUUCAUUUAUCACUUAAUGUAAUGUAUAAUCAAAUAUAUCAGAUUUAGUACUUAACAAUUCAAUAAAUUAAUGGAUUCAGAUUUUAUAUCUCAUAUUUCAAUUUUUAGACUUCAGUUUUAUCUAAUACACCUUUAGUCUAAUUAGGCCAACCAUUGUGCAUGGCAUACAAAGCUCAUUAUGCCUAUAGUUCUUGGCCAAAACUUAAGUAGAUUGGAUUUUCAAAGAUCCAAUGAUCUAGAUUGUACCAUAUCAUUUGGUGAGAUGGUGUGGUAUAAUCUAGACCAUUGGAUCUUUAAAAACCUGAUCUACCCAAGUGUGAGCCUAGUUUUUAACUCAUUGUGAAGGCGAUUGUACGAGGCUAUUGACAAUUUAAAUUGGACAGUGUUGUGUCUGUCGACCUAGCUUCAUCUAGACCAUCAAAUUAAAGUUUACAAAGGAAAUAAAAUUUUUCUUACAUAUUUGAGCCACUUCUACUUUACCCAAACUGAAACCAAGUUCAGAAAGCUCAAUUAAGAGCCCCACCACUCCCCCAAAAAAAUAAAAAUAAAAAAAAGAAGCCCUUAAAGAAAACAAAACCCCUCGUGCAGUUGUCCCAACUUAUGAGGAUUAAUCAAUGUUAGGGUUGUAAACUAAUGAAAUGUACUAGAAUAACAACCAUGUCUUAAUAUCACUUUGUUACAACCAAGUUAACCAAUUAAAACAUAUGGUCUGGUCCUCUCAAAAUCAUUUGACAUCUAAUAGUUUCUACCCAAAAAAAGGAAAAACAUAAUAAUUAUACAUCAUGAAAGAUCCUAUUGCAAUCAUUCUAAAAUCCUUUUGAAGCCAAAAAUGCACAUACUUGUUAUGUUCGAGGACAGUAAAUGGUUUUCCUACUUCUAUGAUUUUUCAUGUUCAACUGAGUUUUGCUGUAAGUAGCAACUUGUUACCAAUUUUUGAAUCUUCUUCAUUUCUAGGUGUCAGCAAUUGUUUGUAUCAUUUUGUCCAUUUUGUUAACCUCAUUUGUGCAUGGGCUCCAUUUGGUCCUCCUCUUAGGAGACGAGAGGCGCUUACCCUUGACCAUCAACCACCCUCAUCUCUCUCUCUCUCUCUCACAGAGACUUUUGAUACCAGUUGAUAACUUGAUAUAUGUACACUUUCUUUUUUCUACUCUCACCUUUACCACUACCAUUAGUCUACCGCAAGAAACGUUGCUAAAGCAGCCUCUCUGGCUAUCUCCCCCACUUUACACUCUUUAUCUCUUUCAAGAUUCUUCCUCACUCAUCCUCCCACAUAAUACACACUACUCACACACACAGAGAGAAGCAGAAAAAUACAUUUCCUUAUCCUAAGCUAGCCAGCUCAGCUCAACUCAACAAGGUUGUUGUCAAGUUCUACAUAUAUAUUCAUAACACUAGUCAAACCUUGAGAAAUGUACUAAACAAACCAAGUAAUAUAAUGGAUGGUUCUUGCUCUCCGUUCUGUAUGGCUAGGAAUGAAGGAAGAAGACCUAUCAGCUACAAAUUCGCCUCCUCCAUUUUUCCCUACAUCACUUCAUUAACCCUACUUUUUUUCCUCCUAGUUCUGAUAGCGGAUCAUCAUCAUCAGCAGGAAAAUCCCAGUUCAUUCCAGCAAGCUGAUCCCAGAUAUGAAUCAGCUAAACUGACGGGGCAAAAGCAAAUGAUUUCAAAAUCUUCUACAAGGAGAGAUUGCAGAGACAGUGCUCAUGAUUCGACAAAUAAUGGAAUCCAUUUUUCACCAAUAGGAAGAAAAGGAGGGCGCCAUUCUGUUAAGGUUCCAUCUUUCUCAUGGAGAGAUAAAAUAUUCAGUGCCAGCGCUCAUGAAGUUCCUAGCGGUCCAAACCCCAUUUCAAAUAGGUGAGAACUGAGAACAAGAAAAUACAUCAGAGGUAGCAGAAAUUAAGAAUAUUGUGGGUUUAUGUCAUGGCUAGUCAUCUCUUGGUGCUUGUGAAAAUUGUUGUUUCUACAAAACGUUAUAUACUAUAUACAAUCGAGUGACACCUUUUGGUUUAUGAUUCAAGUCUUGAACGUUAUAAUUACAAUUUUUUUGUUGUUAUUUAGUAGCAAGUGUAUAUUAUUUUCCAAUCAUUUUGGCCAUGGGGAUGCAUGGAGAUGGGAUUGCAGCCAUGAUGAUCUUUGAUUGCUAACUUUUUGGAAUAGUCUUUGUUCGGGAAAUCUGAAAGGGCCAUCAUUCCAAGGAGGAGUGUCUUUAUUCAUUUAAUCAAAAAGACAUGGUUGAUUUGCUUUUUCUCCACACGGAAUAGCUGCUUUGAACGGUCCCCCGCAGUAAUAUUGAAAAAAAAAAAAAUUGAUUGUGAAGCAAACAAGUAUGAAUUGUAUAUGGUCGUGCUAACAUGAAGUUGCUAUAGUAUUCAACCAAUACUGAUGUUUUUGUGUGUGUGCGUGUCCACAUCUCUCUGAUUAUCCUAAUUGAGAAAAAUAAAUGGAUAACUAUAUGAUGGUAGUUUCUGUUCAUCUGUUUUUGAGCAGCUUUUGUUCAUCUUAUUUUGCUUUUCUGUAAAACUAUGAUGUUACUCAACAACAUUUACCUUAAUGAAGCAAAUUCUUUUAUCCAUUUUGUUCCUUGAUUUUACCUUUUUAUAACAAACCAAUAACAAAUUAAAGAGCAAAACAAAGUACCUUUUACUUGAAAAUUGAUAAAUCUUUGUCCUAGUUUCUUGUAUUUAGAUUGUGUCAUACAUCAUAGGAUCUUGGGUCAAGUGAUAAGGAGUUUGAUACUCUUUAAACAAAGUCUUGGGUUCGAAUUUUGUGGAUGGAAAAUAUAACAUUCGAAUAACCACUCCUAAAAAAAAAAUUGGACAGUAUUUUAUUCCAAACUAAUCACUUCUAGAAAAAGAUUUGAGAGUACUUGAUUCCAAAUUAGUCAUGGUCCAAUGAGGUCAACCAGAUACUACUGAAAGAUUUACACCGAAACAAAAUUUUAAAAAAUUCUUCGCACUAAUUGAAUUUCUUUCUUCUCCUUGGAUGGAAAUUUUGUAGGUUUUAUUGUCGUUUAAGGCACUUCUCAUUUAUGUAGGCUUUUAUUGCAUUAACUUUAUGGGCAGACUACUAUUCUUGAAUUUGAAACAUUCUUCCCAAAGCUAUUUUUCUUUUCUAUUACCAUUCCAAGAUUCUAUGUACAGUUUUACGUUGUACUGAAAGUUUUUUUCUUUUCUGAGCAAAAUAGUAGUAACUAUUUUAUUGACAUAGGCAAGAAAACAGCUUCCACACGAGGUUAAACCUCAAGUACAUCCCGGACAACCACAUUACUAGUACGCAAACUAGGCCUUAGUAGAAGCAUAUUCGCUAGGCAAAACAUGAAAAAGAUAAUCCCCGGUAAAAGAAUAGCUAAAAGAAGCAGUGUAUUCUCUAGGACAAGGGGCAAGAACGGUUGCAGGUGCAACCAUUCUUGACAGUUAUGUAUAUUUUAUAUACGACGUAACUUUGUUUGUAUAUGGUAUAAUUUACUUUCAACAACAUGUAACUUUAGAACAAAAUUUUGUGAAUCCCACACAUAUUAUUAAAAUCGAGAUACAAAAUGAAAUCUAGAUCGCAUAAUUUUUUUUAAUCAAAUCUUGAUCAUGAACUGCCAGGAACGACACUGCUAAAAGGGAAUAGCUAGCCACGGUCAACAAAUAGGUCUCUUGCCCUAAUCAAUUCAAAUGACAAAAAAUUUGCAGCACACAAACAAAAGUGUUGGCCCAGAUAAACAAAAGCAGGUCUCUCUGAGGAGCACAAUGAUUAGUAUAUGUUUGUGGGGUUUAAGCUUUAUGAGUUAAGACGAGACUGCAUGUAAUUAUCAAAAGCAAAAGAAGAGAGUGCAUGAGUGCAUCACCAUUUCACCCAUUGUUUUUCGUGUAAAGUCACAUAUGUACCACAUUUAUAUACGUGUCUAGCAUCCAAUGAAAGAAGCCUGCCUAAGAAGGGUCCCUUUCUUCUUCAAAUUCACUAAAGAUAAGCCCUUCUACUUCUUCCUGAAAAAUAACAGCUUAAUAACAGCUGCCACUCUUCUUUGGCCAUUUCUUUUAAAAGCUGUCACCAUAAAAGUCGGUAUUAAAUUUGAUCGUACGUCUUCAUUGCCAAAGCUCUUGUUCUCUUUUGGGUGUCAGUAUUUUGCAAUUUGCUUGUUUUAUACCUGUGGUCUCGCCCGGUACGAAGCUUGGAUAAGAACUACAGGAUUGAAUGAGCAAUGAAAGAACAAAUUGGGAAGAGGAAGAAGCCAUCAAUUAAUUGAACUUGUCUUCAUUGCACUAACAACCUCCCUAGAGAUUAUGGCUGGCUGUUCUUCCAAAGAUGCAAAAAAAUCUUUACAGCAUUGUAGUUGCUUUAAUGGGCUGCAAUGAUCUGCUUCCCCUAACUUCUAAUAAUAAGUGUAAUUCUGCUAGAUACUAUUCCAACUUUGAGAAAAAUGAUUCUUAAUUAAAUGAGGAAGUUUUACGAAUUAAUUUGCCAGUGCUUUGGAACCAAAAUAAUUAGCACUAGAAGAAGCCAUUAAUUAGAAAAAAGCACACAGACUAAUGGUCCCUUAUGUUGACAAAUUUGUUCCUCUCUGCCCUUUACACUAUUUUGUGCAUUUCAGUCUCAAACAUGGUCCAUAUGCAACAUUUAUUCUGGUCCCCAGUUUCAUUUGUGACUAUUGUUACACUUGAGAAAUUCUUGCAGACAUCAUUUGUCAAGUAGUUUGAUAGGCUAAAAUGGAUCCUCUUUGGAUUAAACUUAGAAUUAAGACACGCAAGCAAACUGAUACGAACCUGUAAACACGCCUAAAAAUUGUGUAUUUCCGCCUUUGUAACUUACUCUUUGAGAUGUGAUGAACGUAAAAUAAAUUGGUUGGAAAGAUCAAACAGUGAUUAAAAAACGUAUUUAUGAUACAAUUAAAACUUUUUUUUAUGAACAAUAUCAUAUACAAAUAAACUUAUUUUCUCUUGAUACUCUAAAAGCCUAAGGGAAAUGAAACCUAAGGCUUAUUAUAGUCCAUUCAGUAAUCUCAAUUGAGUUGAUAAGAAUAUUGAUGAUUAAGUUAGAUUCUGUUCAUUCUAUAUCAGUUGAGUUGGUAAGAAGAAAAUUCAGCUUCCACCCCAAUUUCAUCAAAAUAGAGAAAUAAAAAAAGAAAGAAAAUGCCUUAUUAUUAACCAUUCAGAAGAUGAUAAUGCAUAUAAAGAUAAGAGAAUUAGAAAACAGUCCAUUCAACGUAAAUCGAAACUUUAGUUAGAUUAAUACAACUUUUUAGGAUAAAAUGUGACAAAAUUUCAAAUUUUGGGUCCAUAAGAUCUUGAGCACAAUAUUAGAAAUAGGAAUAUAGACAUUACUUGUGGAAUAGCCUAAACAAGAACAAUACCCACCCCUAAUUAAUUUGGACUAGUAAACACUUAUGAUGACAUAAGUAUGCAUAUGUUUGUUGUCCUUGGAAAUACAAUCGCAUUUUAUUAUAAUCUCAUAUGGAUUGCAUAUAUUUUGUUAUUCUUACAAGUAAUAUGUAUGAUUACCUUCAUGGCUUAUUCGAGUUUAAUGGCAUCACAGGGAAUAUGAAUCUGCACAAAAGUAAGUUUGCAUAGAGUUUUAACUAGUUGUGAAGGUCAUUUUACCCUAGCAUAACUUACAAACAAGAAUGGAAUUUUAUUUUCUUUUUUCUCUAUUGGGUACAAGUAUAUAAUAGUCUAUAUAUAGGCUUGAAUAUAUCAGAAGUUAGAAAUCCUAAAACUCCGAUUAGCACAUGAGAUUCUUGACACAUACUGUCAGCUAAAUGAAAUAAUUAACACGAUUCAUAAAAAUUGACACAUUAAUUCCAUGUGUAUACCAUUACACACACACACACACACACUAUUUGCUUUUGAGGAAAAAAUUAUUUCAUUGCUUUCACCAGAAAAUAUAAAAGCUACAUUGUGAAUGUGGGGGUGGGGGGGGGGCGGUAAAGGAAUCGGAUUAUGAUUUUAUUUAUUUUUGUAACAUGAUAUUAUUGAUUACUACUGAUGGAACACAAAAUGAACACUAUGGAUUAGAGUUUUUUGGAGGAAAAGGUGAUGAAGAGGGUCCAGCACCAAAAUCUUCUGGUGGAGGAAUGGGUGAUGAAGAUGCUCCAGCAGUAAAAUCCUCUGGUGGAGGAAUAGGUGAUGAAGAAGCUCCAACACUAAAAUCUUCUGGUGGAGGAAUAAUUGACGGAGCUUCAAAAUUAUAACUUUCCAUAGGAGUAAUUGAUGAAGUUUCAUAGUUAAAAUCAUCUCGCGGAAGAACAAAUGGGGGUGAAACUUCAGAAUAAAAAUCUUCAGGAGCGACACCAAGUGAUGAAGCAGCUUCAUAAUAAAAUUCUUCAAAACUAUAACCUUCUGGAGGAAUAGCAGCUGAUGAAGAAGCUCCAAGAUUAAAAUCUUCGGAAGAAACAAAAGCUGAUGAAGAAGUCCCAAAAGUAAAAUCUUCUGAAGAAACUCCAAAGCUAGAAUCUGCUACAGGAGCAACAGCUGAUGAAGGAGCUCCAAGAUUAAAAUCUUCUGGAGGUGCAACACCCGAUGAAGGAGCUCCAAGAUUAAAAUCUUCUGGAGGAACAAAAGCUGAUGAAGAACCUCCAACAUUAAAAUAGUUUGAAGGAACAAAAGCUGAUGAAGAACCUCCAACAUUCAAAGCUUUUGGAGGAAAAUAUGCUGAUGAAGAACCUCCAACAUUGAAAUCUUUUGGAGGAACAAAAGCUGACGAAGAACCUCCAACAUUGAAAUCUUUUGCAGGAACAAAAGCUGAUGACGAACCUCCAAUAUUGAAAUUUUUUGGAGGAACAAAAGCUGACGAAGAACUUCCAAUAUUGAAAUCUUUCGGAGGAACAAAAGCUGAUGACGAACCUCCAACAUUGAAAUCUUUUGGAGGAACAAAAGCUGAUGAAGAACCUCCAACAUUAAAAUCUUUUGGAGGAACAAAAGCCGAUGAAGAACCUCCAACGUUAAAAUCUUUUGGAGGAACAAAAGCGGAUGAAGAACCUCCAACGUUAAAAUCUUUUGGAGGAACAAAAGCUGAUGAAGAACCUCCAAAAGUAUAAUCUUGUGGAUGAAAACCAGCUGAUGAAGAAGCUGUUCCAAAACCAAAAUCUUGUAUGGGGACAUAAGCUGAUGCAGAAGGGCCAGCAGCUUGAGGAACAGCAGCUGAUGAAGAAGCUCCCUUGUUCAACUCAUUUGCAUGGUUUUGUAACUGGACAAGCAUGUCAUCUACCCAAGCUUCAACUUUUGCAACCAUCUCCUCAUCCAUUUCCUGAAUGGGGGUGGGCAACCAAGCAAACGGGUCUUUUGGAGCACCAAUUUGAUCCAAAUGCUUAGCCCUAUUUGACUCAAUCUCCAUCUGAGCAUCAAGCUCGUCAAGUUGUUUGUUGAGUCUAUCAACGUUAGCUCGAGUAUAUGCCUCAAUAAGUUGCUGUGUAGGAUCGGGUUGCUGGUCUUUUUUGUGGAAUCGAUUAAGAACAGUUUCCAUAGUUGGAUGGAAAAAAGAAUAAGGCUUAUUUGUUGGUGAAAAUAUGAGUAUGCCAAUGUCGGUCGAGCACAAGGUGCAAAGUUCACUAGCUUUCUUGUACAUUCCAUUCUUACGUUUGGAGAAGCUAGCAUACCUAUCAUCAGCGUUUUCUAUCUUUUUCAUUUCAAUUUUCCGACGACCCCUAGUUUGCUUGCCCUCCAUGAUUUCUUGAUAAGUGAAAUUUCAGAGGAGAAAAUACAAUGACCUUUCUUAUAUCUUCACUUAAAUUUAUAGUGGAAGGCAAGGAUUUGCUAAAUAUUUGUUCUUAGUGUUUUCCCUUCUUGGAGGGUCAUUUAUGGUACUUAAAUCUUGACAAUAUUUUGCAAAAAAAUAGGUCUGACAGCUCCUUACAUCCCCGUUUCGUUGAGCCAUGAGAACAAGUAAUUAAUACUAAUAUUGAGAUAUAAAUAUGUGCUUCAUUUCAUUUUGUUGAUUUCCAUUCUGAAAGUGCGAAAAUAAAUGUCCAAUUUUGGCAAGUGAAUUUUAAAACUUACCCUAUAAAAUUACGUUACAUGUAUAUAUCCAAGAAAGUUUAGGGGUGUUCAAAUGUUGAAGUAAGCACAUAUGCAAUUCAAAGACAUGCUGAUGCCCGUUUAAAUAUAUAGAUUUCUUUUAGCGAACAAAUAGAUAGAGGCGGAAGAAAUUUACAAAUUUGCUCAAUAUUGUAGUAACAAGAAUAAGAAGUAUUAAUGUCCAAAAUCUUGUGAAUAGAUGACAUAUUAAUAACAUCACCUACGAAAACAACUACUGGGGAAAGGAUAAUGAUUGAAGAGGUUGGAUAAACUUCAAAAAGUGCCAUUAGGAAAUCUUUGAUUUGUGCGAUCUUCAUACCUAAGCUACAAAUUCAUGGAUUAAAUUGCCAAACAUGCCAUAAUAUUGAAGAUAGGUCUCUGCAACUACAAAUUUUCUGAUAAUUUCAGUCAGCUAUAUUUGAUAUGAUGUUGGAUUGUUAGUGAGGAAUAAUGCAUACCUAAGUGUAGUUUUAUGUAAUUUAAUUGAGUAUAGUUUAUUGGCAGUGGUACCAGUUGAGUUUCUGUCCUGUACUGUACCAUUCUAGGCUUUGGAAUGGUAGACUUGGAAUAAUGUAUACCUAAGUGUAGUUCUUUAUUAUUCGAUGGGAAGACCAAAAUUUUUUCACAUUAGUACACUCCUAUGUUUAGUUGCACUCUUUACAUCUACUCCCAAGUAACUUUCACAUAAGCUUUAAGUUACAUAUUGGAGCCCGGACCAUGAAUAGGUUAAUUGUCAAUAGCAAAUUCAACCUCGUUUUUGUCAAAAUGUCAUGAGAAGAGGACUCUUUAUCACAAAGUAAUUUAACUUGCCUUCUCAGUCAUGAAGUUUUUAAACCCCUAUAAGAGCUCAUAUGAAGUUUAUAUUAGUAGUAAUGCCUCUUUUCUACUCUUUUUUUCUUUCAGAAUAAAGAAGUGCCAUCAACUGUUAUUGGGUUCUUUACGAACUGAGCUUUGCAACUUGAUGGGCACUACCUAAUGAAGCAUAUGCAUGAGAAAUUAACCUAUAUGCUCAAAGCUUAAACUUAUAUAUUUGAACAAGAAAAGAGGCCUUUCACUCAAAGAGAUCACAUUCAAGUUUUCACUUUUCCUGGAAGACUGAUCGUACAUAUCCCUACCAACAUAAAUUCAGCUCAGACUUUGACGCACAAAAAGAAGACUUUAAAAUAAGAAGUACUCCAGUAUCAUUUCGUACUUAGUAAUGUUACACUUAAGAUAUAUAUUAUGUUUCCUUUUUUUGAGUUUAUUUUGCAGAAUUCAUGUGUUUCAACUCUCAUGCAGUUAGUCCUAUUUCAAAUCUGGUAAGCUAGAACGAUUAGUUUUUGUCAUUAACUAGGUAUUUCUCCACCAAAUCAGUGGUGUGUGAUUUUUCUUGAUAUAAAAGAUAUAGGAUCUUUGAUGAUUUUUUACUUAGAGAAUUACGUAUCAGAAUACAGCCAUGUAGAGUUAUAUAUGGAGAUCAUGUACUUUUUAAGGGUAUUGCAACUACCACAAGUGUAGAAGUUGGAGAAAGAAGUAAACGAGUUCUGCAGUGGCACUUCUUUGGUAAUCGUUCACGUUUUAAUGUACUGGCAAAGAUUAGAAGUUAACUGUGCCUCCAUAAGAAGCUGGAAAAAAGAUGACAAAUAGCUCAAAUUGAAAUUAGAAAUCAAGCAAAAUUUCUGCUUUGGAGGGUCUAAGUCAAGACACUCCUCCGGGUUGAAAAAUCUAACUUUUAAAGAAUAAAAUGUAGCUAGCUACGAAAGAAGAACAAAAUUGUAUUCCUAUAUAUAUAUAUAUAUAUAUAUAUAUCUGUGUGUGUGUAUUCUGCUAAAGGAAAAGGAGAAAAAAGGGGGGAUCAUUUAUCCCAGUCGAAAUGUUGCUCUACUUCACAUCUGUAAUAAUCUGCAUGCAUGGGGACGAAGAGGAAAAGGAGUUUCUGGCUGAAUUGGCGUUGGUGAUGGCUAUAACUGGGAAAAAAACACACUUCAAGAAAGUUAAUCAGUCAUAUACACACACACACACAUCACACACAUAUGUGUGCGUAUAUGAGUGUGUAUCUAGGAAACAUUAGCAUAACAAAGUGUAAAAUGAUGAUCCAAUUUCUACUACUAUAAUGGUAAUAGAUAUGUGAAGCUCGUAGUGUUAAAAAUAACUAAAAGAGUUGUUUAUUGAUCUGAAGAUACUUGGGAAGAAUUUGCUAUAUACAUGUUAUCAAUCUUUCCGCCAUCCAAGCAAAAGGCUUCACCGACUUUGGAUAUUCUCACCCAAGUAAGUCUCACUUUUGUAAAGAAAAGUUAUUGAUAAUCACUUGAAUCACUUUUGUCAAAAGAGGAUAUUUAAGCAGUCUUUGCUUACAUCUUUCUCUUCAUUUUUGGUUUGAAUGAGUUGAAUAGACUACUGAACUGAUGUGCUGUUUGUGGAUAGUUUCGAUACAAUUCUCAAAGAAAAGAAACCACUAGGGAGUUUGCAUUUGAGAAGGGUUUAGGUCUUAACUUUUUUUAUAGACUCAUGAACAUUGUCGUCCAAGUUUGGGUCUUAAAAGUAGCUUAAAAAAGUAAUGAAAGUCGUCAAGAUUAAAAAGUGAUGGAGGACAAUAUGAUGCCUUGAUUGCCAAAAAGCUCUUUUUACAGUUUAUGUGCUAGUAAUGUAUGAAUUCAGACUAGAUUGAGGUGAUAGAGAUAUCAGAUAUGGCAUCAGUCUGAAUUCUGCCAAAUUUUGCUUUAAAAAUAAUUUAAUCGUUUGACUGUGGCUUGCUAAUUUACGUGGGUGGACCGUGGGGUACCAUGGAGUGGACUAUGCUGUAGUGAUUUGUCACUCGUUUCUUUAGUUGGUAAGCAACAUUUUGCUUCUAAAUUGCUUGUAAGCCACCUUCCUGAUUUGCAGUUCUCUCUUCUUCUCCUUUUUUUUUUUUUUGGUACAUAUUAAUGGUUAAGUUACUGAGGGACAAUAACUAUAACAAAUAGGUCACGGAUUCAAAUCAUCAAGAGGGUUAAGUGAAAAAUUACUUAUCGCUAAUCUUCGAAAAAAAAGUUAUAAGAGACAAAAUUUGAUGCUAAAAACAUUCAGUAGUAGGGGAAACAAUAGUCAAUUAAACUUAAAAGGGUCUGCCAAUUGACUCACAAUCGCCCCUCUCAACAUGAAGGGAAACGUGGACAAGUGUUUGAAAUCCAAUUGGAGGCAAAUUAGUUGAAGUUUUUCGAAAGAUGCUGAGUUAUACGAAGAAAGAAUUCUGACUAUAACUUUCUUUGCAACGAGUAUUUUGAGAAGGGAUUCCACAGCAACUUAACGGUCUCGGAAAUUUUAAAUUUGGAGACGUUGUGUUCAUUCAUUCUAUGAAGUUCUUGAAUGUCGAUGAACUUUCUGUUCUCACAGUUCCUCAUAAUUGAUGGCACGAAAUGGAAAGGUGUCACUUACCAUUUCCUACCAUCAUGUUACCAAUCUGUCAAAGUUUGAACAAAAUCUUUUACCAAAAAGAGCAACUAAAUUUAUAUGGUCAAGACGAUUUUCAAUAAUCUGUUAAUGAAAUUUACUUUUUAGGGAUAAUAUUAGAAACCUCCCUUGAGUUUUCUCCUAAUAUCACUUGGCACUCAUGAGAUUUUAAAAAUAUCAUUUACUGCCCCUAGUAAUUGUGAAAAGAUUAUAUUAACCCUCACUUGAUAUAUAAUUCGCAUAUUAAAUAAAUGGAGCUCAAAAAGUUAAGAAAGAAAGAAACAAAAGUCACUUUUUUCUCUUUCUUCUUUUUCAAUGUUAUCUCUUGCUAAUUUUUUUUUGAAUGACUACGUGAUUUUUUAUUUGUAAAUUAUAGGAAACUGAAUUUUGUUUAUCUUUUUACCUUUUGUGAUUGUAAUAGAGUGGGGUAUGAUUUCUUUAUUUAUUUUGAGUUGUUUUCAUAAUGCUUAAUACGAUUUAAAGGCUUGGACACGGGUUGAGAAGAAGUUGGAAAUAAUAUAUAAGGUUGAUAAGAAAUUGAUUUUGAGCAUAUAGAGUUAAAUUGAUACUAAUGUAUUUCUCUGCAAAUAUCUUUUUUGUUUUUCAAAUUUAUACUUUUAUGGGCUAUAGUAUUGUAACAUAGUAGUUCUACUAGAGAUUAUUUUUUAAGUGAUGGUUUUCUUGGAGUAAACAAAAUGUUUUAGGAGUAUUUUUUAUUUAGUGAGCAAAAGGGUAGUUUAGGGUUUUUUGAAAUUUUGUUGCACAAAUAAUAAAAGUAAGGAAGGUAAGUGAUAUUUUGAAAACUUUAGGAAUGCUAAGUGACAUUAAGAGAAACCUCAAGGGAGGUUUAUGAUAUAUAUAUAUAUAUAUAUAUAUAUCUUCAAGGUUUCGGUGUCUCCAAAUUCAAUUCCUAUCCUUUCAUAUAUCAUUUGGCUUUGAACUUCAACAUGCAACAUUUUGCAUAAUGUCAAGAAGAAGGUAAGAACGCCUUGGCUACCAUUCGAUUUUCUUUCAUCACAAGUAUUAAUCUGUCAAUUGAAAAGUGAUUAGGAAUAGAGAGAGAGAGAGAGCAUCCACUAAUCUUUUCACACUUCUGGCUGAUAGGCUACUGAAAGUGUAACGAUUAUUUUCCAUUUGCAAAUGGGACAGAUUCAGAUGAUAAUAUGCGUUCCACAAUCAUGUCCGCAUGUCAAAACAAAGCCAUCAGGAAACCACCCCUAACAGAGCUAAUUCCAGAGUCCAGACAAUCAUUUUCAGUAUGUGAGAACUGGAUCAUAUCUAACAUUUGCAAGUUCAAAAUUUCUACUUGAUACAAAUUUAAGACUGGAAGUCCAGAAUCCUGUUUCCAAAGUACAACUGGGAGAAGCUUGUACACUUGUGGUUGGAUAUCUCGGGCUUUUACAGGGCAAAUAAAUCAAUAUGAAUUUACACUUGAGAGCAAGUUAAAGCUAAAGUUACUGAAUGUUGUGAUGUUUCAUUCACUAAAGAGAAGCAAUUUACGGCCUACGACUUUCCAAUGAAUGAAAAUUUAUGGCCUACAGACUUUCCAAUGAAUGAAAUCAGGUAUCAAGAUAUCUGCCCGGGCAACCAUCAAUUAAACCGUCGCCCACUCAUUAUGUUCUUGACUGUGUCCAAUAUCCGGACAUAUUCAUAAAAGAGUACGGACUCUUUACCCUCCAGUCCAUCCCUGCUCACUCUAUUGCUACCUGCCAGAUUAUUACAAGGACUACCACCAAUUACAAGAUCGAAACCUCCAAUUUUACCUGCUAAACUCUCUAUCUUGUAUGCAUCUAAGGUCUGCACAUCAUCAAAGUCAAUCAGAUUCCCCUUCUGAUUUGUCUGCUCCCACCAACUGCGGACUAUAUUCCUAUUGAUUUCAGAUUUUUCAACAGAAACUACGUUGUUCAAUGGGAUCCCAAGUCGGUGGAGAGCAACUUCUGCACCACCAAUCCCAGAGAAAAGCGAUAAGAUGUUGAUGCCGUCAGGGAACAAAGGUUUCAGGACAGACAGAUGGUAUGCCACAGUAUUAACCUGCCAUAAAUAGCAAACAGCUUCUCAUUAUCACCAUUGUAGUCGCUAAAUCAACUCUAAAAUAUCAAGCUAUUUAUGCAAGCAAACUAGCGAAAUAUUAUCUACCAGUAAUUCAGGAUCUAGUAUUGCCAGGAGUAAACUUUCCAGUUUGGGCAUAGCAAUUCAUAGGAAACAGAGUUUUUUAAGACAGGUGGAAGUAAUGCUCACCUGAAAUGAGUUGCCAAGUGAUUUAUAUCUGUCAGUCCUACUAAUCCCACCUCCUCUAGUAUGAUUCCUGGGGAAACCCAGCAGCAACUCAAAUUCAUCAGGUUCCAAGGGGGCAACCUUGUUUCUUCCUACCCACAGCAAAUUCCACUUCUUGCAUUGAUCAAUUACAUACUUCUUGACAUGCUCAGGUGGCUCCCCAUCAUAUGCUUCAACAGCCUUGCGAAUCCUAUCCUGCAACUUUGCACUCCCAAUUGCUGUUUGCAAGCAGUUUAAAUAUGUUCGUGAAUCCCAUGAUGGCCACCAUCUCUUGGUCAGGGGAAAUGUUUCUUCUAUGUUGAGGGGCAAAAGUGGACGAAGAGAGAAUCUGUUUUGAAUUGGUAGGUUAUGGACAUAUCCUCUUUUUCUUGCAGCAGCACAAAAAUACUUCGAAUCAACAAAUUCUGGCUCCACAUAAUACAAGCACUUUGAUAUUUCAUCCCAUACACCCUUAGGAGUGAGUGCAACAUUCUCGUAAUAAAAGUAUGGUGGGCCUAGUGCUUGCUCUGGAAGAGUUCUUUCUCUUACAAUACUUGAUUGAUCAUCUGUAGGUAGACCAAAACCUACCAUGGGUUUUGGCAGGCGAAUCAUCUCACUAUCUUCUCCUACCAUGCCCCUUUGCUUUUUCCUGUUAUCCAGCUCAGCAUACAGCCUCCUCUUCAAUUUUCCAUUUUGACUGCAGGUAUAAUUUGCCUUUGGCUUUGAAAGUGAAAUGGAAAAAGCAUCAGUUUGAAUUAGAUUAGUUUUUGGGAGUGCUGAAAGCAAAAGGGCAAAAACAUCAGUGUAAAUUAGAUUAGUAUAACUGGAACAGUAGCACUUGGAGAUGGAAGAAGAACCUUAAUCUCAGCAGGCAGGUCUGGAGCUUCUGCCCUUGCUAUUUGAGCCGCACAAAUGAAAUCGGUUAAUACAGCAAUUGAGGCAUCUGGACCUAUAGCAUUGUCAAGUAGAAAUUCACAAAGAGGUCUACAAUAAAAUAAAAUACAGCAGCAAGGAUACAAGUGAAUAAGCGAUUUCUUAAUCAUGACAUAAGAUCUGUCACCCAUAGGAAGCAAUUGGCACCAGCAGAAAGUUAUCACCUUUUAGCAAAGAACUCAAUAUCCAAUCUACCCAAAUUAAUCCACUUAAAGCCUCAAGAAUAAAUAAAGCCAUGAAAGCAAAUGUUCGAUCCAAAAGUGUCCUUUCUGAAAGAAGUAUCACUUGUUAAACCAAUACAUGAUACAAAGUUCAGAAAAAUCAGUUAUCUGAAUAACAGGAAACUACCGGUAACUUCUUUUCAGGGAUAGUCUCAUUUAACAUAAAAUCAUUUCAGAAAGAUAUGGCCCUGAUUAAGAUGCAGGACUGUAUUUGCAUCGUUUGGUGAUAUGAUCUUUCACUAAAUGUCAUGCAGUGGCCAAUGUUAAAACCAGUUUUGUUCUGGCAACAAAAUAGUCUCUUAUGAACCGAUCAGAAGUUGAAAGAACAUGAUAACACCUGCCUUCCAAAAACACAACAAAAACUCACAUCUGAAUAUUCUAUGUUACUCCAAUUUAACAUUUAGAUUUAGUAUUUGCACCUCAAGAUGACUAAGCAAACUUUCACAUCCAUGCACAGGCUGGUCACCCUCAUGUUUUAAAAGCUAAACGCAAAAUCAAUUAUUCUAGAGGUCAAUUUCAAUUAAAAGUGAGUUUGCAUACAUUCA
rnacentral:lncRNA from 1 species